rnacentral:lncRNA from 1 species
UGGGAGCCUCCGUCAUCGAGAUGUGGAGUUGAACCAAGAAGUUUGUAAGGGCAAGGAGAUCGCCUACUUCGUGAAGAUCUACCCCGAGUAAGGCUAGCCCUCCGUGGGCGUAGGCCAUGAUGGAAUAGACAAGGUUGCUUCUUCGUGGACCCUUCGUGGGUGGAGCCCUCCGUGGACUCUCGCAGCCGUUACCCUCCGUGGGUUGAAGUCUCCAUCAACGUGGAAGUACGAUAGCACCACCUAUCGGAACCACGAGAAAAAUCACCGCGUCUCCAAAAUUGCGUUUGCUCUUCUCCACCUCUCUUUACUACAUGUGCAAUUUACUUUCCGCUGCCUAUACUCUAGAAUUGCAUGUGUAGGGUGAUGCUUGACUUGAUCAUAAUUGUGAAUCUGCCAAAAACUGUUCUUUGUCAAAAGGCAGAAUUUUUAUAUUGACAAGUAGUCUAAUCACCCCCCUCUAGACAUACUUUCGAUCCUACAAGUGGUAUCAGAGCUUUGGUCUCCAUUGUAUUGGCUUCCAUUGCAUUGGACUCCAUAAGCUUGGUUUCACAACCUAGGAGAGUAUGGCGUCUAGUGAGGGUAAUUUUCGUAGAGGUCCUUACUUUGAUGGUACAAAUUUUGCUAGUUGGAAGCAUAAAAUGAAAAUGCAUAUUCUUGGUCAUAACCCAGCCGCAUGGGGCAUUAUUUGUGUUGGUAUGCAAGGUGAAUUCUUCGAGGAAGGAAAAGUUCCGGAUCGCGAAGCUACAACGGAAGAAUUGCGGAUGUUGCAAAACAAUGCUCAAGCUUGUGACAUUCUCUUCAAUGCCUUGUGUCCCGAGGAGUUCAACAAAAUCAGCCGUCUUGAGAAUGCAAAAGAGAUUUGGGAUACUUUGGUUGAAAUGCACGAGGGUACCGAGUCCGUGAAGGAAUCAAAGCUAGAUAUUCUUCAAGGUCAACUUGACAAGUUCAAGAUGAAGGAUGGUGAAGGAGUCGCUGAAAUGUACUCUAGGCUUGCUCUCAUCACAAAUGAGAUUGCCGGCUUAGGAAGCGAAGAAAUGACCGACCGAUUCAUCAUCAAGAAGAUUCUCAGAGCUUUGGAUGGAAAGUAUGACACCGUGUGCACUUUGAUCCAAAUGAUGCCAAACUACAAGAAUCUCAAGCCAACCGAAGUCAUUGGAAGAAUUGUUGCUCAUGAGAUGACACUUAAGGAUAAGGAAGAGCUUCACAACAAGUCAAGUGGUGCUUACAAAGCUACAAGUGAUGCUCCCACAACCUCAAGUGACAAGUUAGUUUCCAAUGAAGAGAUAAGCCUAAUGGUCAAGAACUUCAACAAAUUCUACAAGAAUAGAGGCAAAGAGAGAAGCUCAAAGUCUAGAUCAUAUGAUGAAAAGAGAUCUUCUAGUCGUGAUCGAAACUGCUACAAUUGUGGAAGACCCGGACACUACUCAAAUGAGUGUACGGCUCCCCACAAGAGAAGAGAAGAAUCUCCAAGAAGAAGAAGCUCAAGAGAUGAGUCACCUCGGAAAGAGAGAAGGAGCAGAGAUGAUCGUUAUGAACGAAGACCCUCUCGGAGAAGCAAGGAUUCGGAGAGGAAAGACAAGUCAUCAAGGAGCUACACAAGAAGAAAACAUCAAGCUCAUGUAGGUGAAUGGGUUUCCGGCUCCGACUCCGACAAUCAAUCCAAAGGAGGCUAUCACUCCAACUCCGACUACAGUCAAGAUGAAGGUGUUGCCGGUCUUGCUCUCGUAUCCUCCAACUCCAACUCCUACGACUUAUUUGAUUCACCAAAUGAGGGAAUUGGAAGAUGCUUCAUGGCUAAAGGCCCCAAGGUAUCACACCCUGAAUUCAUUGACUUCAAUAGUGAUGAGGAUGACUUGCUUGGUGAAGAUGAACUCUUGCUUGAUAAAUCCAGUGAGCCUAGUAACGACGAACAUGCUAGUAAUGUUUAUAGUCGAGAAGAGUCGAAUGACAAUGCUAUGAAGGAGAUUGAGCAUCUAACUAAAGAACUAAACACUCUUAAGUUAGCUCAUGAAACAACUCAAGAAGAUCAUAGAGAGCUCCUAAGAUCUCAUGAGAAGCUACGCUUCGAGAAGCUCACUCUAGAGCAAGAACAUGAGUUUCUAGAAGCAAUCAAUGACGAUCUUCGAAAGAAGAGUUCUUCAUAUCUUGCCAAACGACUUCUCUUGUCUAAUUUCUUGCCACCCAUUAAGACUAAGCAUGACAAGCAUAAGAAAAAUUCUUCCUCUAGUAGUAACAAUAACCAUGCUAAAUCCAAUGUUGUUGCUUCUAGUAGUUCUCUUGAUUCCACUAAUAAUGUUUCAAGCCAAGUUACACUUGAGCAAGAAAAUAGUUUAUUGAAAGGGAUCAUAGAGAAAGGUGUCUACAAGAGCCUUGCCGGAAGCAAGAACUUUGAGGAAAUCAUUCGCAAGCAAGGAAGGCACCGGAAGAAUCAAGGAAUUGGUUUUGAGCGAAAGUUCAACGCCGAAGGUGUUGAGUGGGAAGAAGGUCAAUAUCCUACUCCACAGUUUGUUCCUCGAAAGGAGAAGUAUGAUCCUACUUCUUCCAAUGUGGAACAAGCUCAAGAUGACCUUCCACCACAAGACCACAAGCUAAAAGGCAAGGACAAGCUUCAAGAGGAGAUUGAUGCAUUUGUUGAAGCACCUCAAGCCAUGGUCAAGUGGGUUCCCAAGGAGACGUCAAGUUCUACUUCGUCAAGCUCAACUACAACCCCAAGGAUUCCCAUCAAGAUGAUGUGGAUCCCGAAGAAGAAGAACUAGAAAGUUCUUGAGGGUGACUCCGCCAACAUACUUCACUCACAUUCAUUUUGGCGAAAACUUGUGCAAUCAACUUCCACAUCGUGCACUAGUUCAUGGAGUCACAAACCCUCUUGUUGGUAAGUCAAGGGACAAGGUAAUCAUUGCUUUCAUGGACAUCAUCUAUUGUGAACUUCAAUCUAUGUCCAUGGAUAUCCUUGUUUGUUCCUUGUGGGACUAACCCAUGUAGGUAUUGAAAGUGCCCGAAUCCAAAGGAUAGCUCCCAACUCUUGAUGAUCUCCAUCAACAUUGAGCAUCCACAUCUUCAACAUCUACAUGAAGUCUUCUACGACAACCCAAGGUUAGUUUGACCCUUUAAAAGGGGUUCUCACAUCUAGGGGGAGCUUUGCUCUAAAAAAAUUGAGCUAAAGCAUCUUCAAAUGAUGUGAACACAUCAAUGCUUUAUGUAAAAGUGGUAACCCCACUUGUGCUUAAACGAUGAGUAUGACCUAUGAUCAAAUGUUCUCAUUUGGCUCCUAAGUCAAUAUACUCAUAUAAAGAUGACCUAGUCAUCGACAAAUUGUGUGUUAGUUGCUAGAGUUUUGGUUGUGCAUGUUUGACACAUAUUUCAUUUUCUAUCUUAUUGUGUGAGCAUGUUGGAUGCAUGAUUUUUUCCAUUCGAGGACAUCCAUUUGUUGUCUUGGUCGUUUUGAGUUUUCUGACCAAAUGGAUGGACAAGAAUGCCUAAGUACCUCCCCUAGCUAUCUAUGCUUUCUUGUCUCAAAUUCUAUUCAUGCUUACAUCACAAAUUUUGAACAAGUCUUUUUCGGACCCUCCGGGUGAGGAGCACUCGGAGCCACCGAUCCGUCAAGGGCUAAUUUCCAAAACCUUCUAAUUGAUUUCGGUCAAACCAACUCACUCAAACUCGGUCGAACCAAAAGCAUUUAGACUGAUCUAGGUUUUCACCUCGGUGAAACCGAGUUGUGAUUUUCGGCGUGACCGAAGUGCAUAACUGCCUAGCAGUUAUCCAUCUCGGUGCCACCGAGUUUUACAACUCGGUCCCACCAACAGCGAAGGGGUAUAUAUAUACCGAGGGCCGCGCGCGUUGAUUCCUCCUUCAAACGUUUCGCCCCCACACCCCUUGCUGCCGUCGCCUUGGUCUCCGGAUCGUCGCCGUCGUCGCCUGUGCGCCCUCGCCGCAGGUCUCCGACGCUGUCAACGGACAUCUCCUCCGAGCCGUUGCCGCCGUAGAAAAACUCCACCAAGUUAGGGUGAGUUUUGAUCCCACUCGUGCUCCCAUCUCCGAUUCAAUGCACAUUUGGUUUGCCUAGUAUCUUGCCACGAUUGAAAUCCUCCUGUACACCAGAUUAGUUCAUUUGAACUAGAUUCGAGUAAAAGUUUUAGGGUUAGGUUUCCGCGGAACACAUCUCGGUGAGACCGAUUUUACAUUUUCGGUAUGACCGAUUUGGCCUAUAGCCAUUGCACUGCACCCUUCGGUCCAACCGAGUUGUGCAAAAUCGGUGUGACCGAAAUGAGGAUUCUGUGAAACCCUAGUGUUUUCGGCAGGACCGAAACCCACUUCGGUCAAACCGAAAGUGGUGUGCCAAGCUCCUGUUUAACACUUCGGAUUCACCGAAUCUUAAACUCGGUCUGACCGAAAUGUCUUCUGUGAAAACUUAAUACUAGAAUUUGAACUCAUUUUUUUUUGCAAAAACUUCUGCAGUUUGUGAUGACUCUUCUUCUCUGCCUACACCUUAUCUAUUCACAGGUUGUCAGCCAUGUCAGAUGCCAGUGACAGUCAGAACAGGUCAGAGACACCCAUUGCAGACAUUCCAGAGGCAGGCACUAGUCCUGAUCCUAGUAGCUCAUCUGAUGAUGGUGAGAGGAGUACACCAAGUGGCAUGCCUCCUGCAGCCACCAGAGCUAGAAAGAAGAGGAAUUCAGAUGAUGAGGAUUCAGAUUUUGUUGUUGAGGAAUAAGUGACCUCAAAGCCCAAAAGGAAGGUUGUUGCCAAAGAGGAACAAGGUCAACAAACUAAGAAGGGCACCAGCAAAGUCAAGCAGUCAACUGUUGCUAAGAAGCUAAAUUUGGGAGAGGCAGCUGCAAGCAAAGUGAAGAAAACCUCCAAGAGAAAGAGGAUAGUGCAUGAUGCAGCAGUAGAGGAUGAGGAUGAGGAAGCACCCCAGCCUACUCCUCAGAAGCCGAAGCUCAUGGGUGAUGCCAUUAAGGCUGGAGCCACAUCAAAGCCCAAGAAAUCUGCUCCAGCUAAGGCAGCUCCAGCAAAGCCUGCUGCCAAGCCCAAGAAGACCGUCAGAAACAUUCCAGCGUCUGAAAAGAACAAGGAUGAUGUGCCACCAGCUGAGUCAGACGAUGAAGGACCAGUUUUGCAGAAACUUCGUCCAAAACUGCCACUACAUAAUGAUGCUCAUCCUCAAGCUGAGGAUAUGAAGGCAAGGAAAGAUAAAGGUCUCAGGCUAUGGAGACAAACUGACCCAUAUGCCGUGAGGAGAAGAACUGCUGUAGAUCCCAGAUUUCACACCAGAGAGCAGCAGGACUUCUAUGAGACCGUGCUGAUGGACAAGAAGCCCAUAGUCGCAGACACCCGAUAUGUUGACUGGAAGUACAUUGACAGCGAAGAGCACAGAGAUUUCUUUCCACAUGUGCAUGAAAGUUUCAUUGCAUGUGGAGUUGCAGACUUUGUAGGUCAGAAAUUGACCAGUUGGAACGAUGAGAUGAUAAUGCAAUUCUAUGCCACAGCUCAUUUCUACCCUGAUGGAAAGAUUAUAUGGAUGACUGAAGGUCAAAGAUUUUCUUCUUCUGUUGAAGAAUGGGCAGAAAUUCUGAAUGCUCCAGUGCAACGAGAAGAUGAUAUUGAUGUAUAUGGGAUUCCAAAGAAGAAUCAUGAAUCCAUGAAGAACAUGGACAAAGAGAUUCCAGCAAAGGAUUUGGGAAUCUGGAAGCUCGGCUCAGUCUACUAUCUCCAGGCAGGCUUACCUACCACUAAUACCAUUUUGAGGCAUACCUUGAUGCCCAAAUCUGGAGAUGAUCGCAUGAUCAGAGGAUACUCUAUCAACAUGCUGCACAUACUUGAUGAGAAAGCACCUUUUAAGGUGAUGGACUUGAUGGUAGAGACCAUUAAGAGGACUGCAGCUGACCAGAAAAGGUCAUGUGGAUUUGCCCCACAGAUUCAGAUGCUUAUCAAUGCCAAGUUUGUCACGGGCACAUUCUUGUUGGAUAGAGCACAUUUACCGUUGCAGCCAGAGCAUGAGGACAAUGUUGUUGUGAUGGAUGAGGAGGAUCCGACAUCUGUUGAAGGUCAAGCCAAGAUCGAAGCUGCUAAGAAAGCCAAAGCUGACAAGGAAGCAGCAGCAGCAGCAGCUAAACCAAAGAGUUUUGGAGAGCAAAUUCUUGAAGCUACUCAAAGGAUUGAACAACGCCUGGCCAGCAUUGAACAGUCUCAGGAGAGCUUAGAGAGGAUUGUUGAGGACAAGAUCCAUGCUCUGGACGUGAAGCUGACUGAAGUACAAGUGACCGUCAACAAGCUCGAGGCAGACAUUGAGGAAGCAAAGCGGGAGAAGGAAGAGCUUAUGCGUGAGUUGCAGGAUGACUUAGUCCAGGAUUCUCAGCGACAGACUUCUCCGGUUCCCAAAGGAUCCCGAUCAGCUGCUAUUCCAGUGACAGACACCAGGACUACAGCUUCAGUACCUCCCACAGUUCCAGCAGUUACUCCAACUCCAGCUCCAGUGACCACUCCUCCAGCACAGACAUCAGCUGAAGUCUUCGCCGAUGCUGUCAUAUCCACUCCGACAUCAACCCAGACGGGAGCCGCCAGCAGAGUCCACAGUGACGCUUAGCUCUAUGCUUUUUCGAACUUUUUGGUAACUUGUUGCCAAAGGGGGAGAAAUUGUAUAGAUCAUAGGACUUCGAGAGAGAGAGUGCUGUUGUCUUUGCGCUUUUGCUCUUUCGUUCUUUUGCGGUUUCUUUGAGAUACUUUUGGUUUUCGAGACAUUCAGUGUGUUUGAUACUACGUUUGAUUCUACCUUAAUGAGUACUUGGUCGUACUAUGCUUUAAUGUGUGCUUAAUGCUUAUCAUUUGCCAUUCCUAUCUUGUAUGACCAUUUACUCAUGUCUUGGUGAUUGGGUGCAUGCUGUUCAUUCUUAUCAUUAUGUGCGCUCCACCAAGAUGUAUGUGACAUGGAAGAGUGACCCAUGAUCCUAAUCGAUUGUGCAUUUGCAUUCAAACGCAAAUCUUAAAUAAUGCACAAAUUUAGGGCGAGCUCUUGCUUAUCACAUACUUCUCAAAGCGACGAUAUUAUUCAUUGAUUAUAUCCUUUGUCGAAGCUUUGAUCUAUAUGUUGUCAUCAAUUACCAAAAAGGGGGAGAUUGAAAGUGCAACUAAUCCCCGGGUGGUUUUGGUAAUUAAUAACAACAUAUAUAUCAUUGAACUAAUAGUUACUUGAGAAUCAUUUCAGAGAGUUCAGUGAUAUGGGUAUGGCAAGGACUGAAGAAGUGGACCCCUCAAAAUGCUAAGGCAAGCAUUGGCAAAAGCUCAAGACUCCAUUUUUAGUUUAGUGAUCCAAGAUCACAUUGAGUCCAUAGGAAAAGCCAAUACUAUUAAAAGGGGAUGAGGUUAUGAUGAUGAUUUGGUUGCUCAAGUGCUUAGUGAUACAUCUCCUAAACUAUCAGCAACUUUCACUGCCAUAUACACUCAUAAGUAGUCUCGGUCCCACCGAUAUUCCAAACUCAGUCACACCGAGAUGAACCACCUCAGCCAUAAGCCAAACCCUAGCAAACUCGGAUUUUCCGAUUCUGAACUCGGUCUCACUGAAAUUUGAGUUGCCAAGCUUCUGUAACCUUCUGUCAUCAAAUCGGUGUCACCGAGAUGAUGAAGUCGGUCCCAUCGAAAUUGGCAUGCUCUUGUCAUUGCACGAAUCGGACUAACCGAGAUUGUAUAUUCGGUCCCACCAAAAAUCCCAACGUUCACAUUAUUUGAACUAUCGGUCUCACCGAGUUGUCCACUUCGGUCUCACCGAGAUUGCUCAAAUGUGUGUAACGGUUGGAUUUUGUGUGGAGGCUAUUUAUACCCCUCCACCCCCUCUUCAUUCGUGGAGAGAGCCAUCAGAAAGAACUACCACUCCUACCUUACAUUUCUGAGAAGAGAACUACCUACCCUUGUGUUGAGAUCAAGUUGCUCCACUCCCACCAUAUGAAGCUUGAUCUCUAGCCUUCCCAAGUUGCUUUCCACUCAAUCCUUUCUUCCACCACAGUCAAAUCAGUGAGGAGAGUUGAGUGUUGGGGAGAUUAUCAUUUGAAGCACAAGAGCAAGGAGUUCAUCAUCAUCUACAACAUCUAUUACCUUUUGGAGGGUGGUGCCUCCUAGAUUGGUUAGGUGUCGCUUGGGAGCCUUCGUCAUCGAGAUGUGGAGUUGAACCAAGAAGUUUGUAAGGGCAAGGAGAUCGCCUACUUCGUGAAGAUCUACCCCGAGUAAGGCUAGCCCUCCGUGGGCGUAGGCCAUGAUGGAAUAGACAAGGUUGCUUCUUCGUGGACCCUUCGUGGGUGGAGCCCUCCGUGGACUCUCGCAGCCAUUACCCUCCGUGGGUUGAAGUCUCCAUCAACGUGGAAGUACGAUAGCACCACCUAUCGGAACCACGAGAAAAAUCACCGCGUCUCCAAAAUUGCGUUUGCUCUUCUCCACCUCUCUUUACUACAUGUGCAAUUUACUUUCCGCUGCCUAUACUCUAGAAUUGCAUGUGUAGGGUGAUGCUUGACUUGAUCAUAAUUGUGAAUCUGCCAAAAACUGUUCUUUGUCAAAAGGCAGAAUUUUUAUAUUGACAAGUAGUCUAAUCACCCCCCCUCUAGACAUACUUUCGAUCCUACACUAUGUGGCCCAUUGAGCUUGGACUCCAUGGCUUGAAGUAUGUGCCUCAGACGGCCAUAAAAUCUCAGGCACUGGUGGCCUUUGUCAAUGAUUGGAUAGAGCUGCAGAUGCAUGAGGAUAAGCCGGACAAUACGUAAUGGAUUAUUCACUUUGAUGCGUCUAGGCAAUUGGAAGGCUCGGGGGAUGGAGUUAUAUUGACUUCCCCACGAGGUGAUAAAUUUUGUUAUGUUUUAAGGUUGAUGUUCCCUUGUACUAAUAAUGCAGCUGAGUAUGAAGCUUUACUCCAUGGUCUUCGGAUGGAUAAAUAGAAUCUGAGCCGGGUAAGGUGCUUUGGCGACUCAGAUUUGGUAGCUCAGCAAGUAUCAGGAACUUGGGAUUCAAAGGAUCCACUCAUGGCGGCUUAUCGCCGAGAGGUUGAUUCUAUUGCUAGUAAUUUCAAAGGUUAUCAAGUGGAGCAUGUUGAUCGGAGGAAAAAUGAGGCUGCUGAUGCUUUAAGUCGGCUGGGGUCUCAGCAUAAGCCGGUCCCCCCUAAUGUUUUCCUUGAUGUUUUGCAUAACCCAUCAGUUAAGUUGCCUAGGGAGGAGGACUUGGCAGUCCCUGACCCGGAGGCACAGUUGGUGGCGGCUCUCCAUGUUAUCCCUGAUUGGACUGUUCCAUAUUUUGCUUAUAUGACCCGGGGCGAGUUACGUGAAAAUGAAACCUUGGCCAGGGAAAUAACCCGGAGGUCUAAGUCUAUGACUAUUUUCAAUGGCGAGCUCCAUAGAUGCGGUGUUACAGGAGUAUUGCAAUGAUGCAUUUCUCCUGAGGAGGGCCAUUAAAUUCUAAGGGAGAUUCAUGAAGGAGAUUGCAUUCAUCAUGCUGGCUCUAAAUCUCUCAUUGCUAAAGCUUUUCGUCAUGGGUUUUAUUGGCUGACGGCUCAUGCAGAUGCAGAAGAUCUAGUCAGUAAGUGUGAUGGUUGUCAGAAAUUUUCCAAACGAGCUCAUGUGUCAGCUCAAGAAUUGAGGAUGAUUCCAAUUACUUGGUCGUUUGCAGUCUGGGGGUGGAUAUGGUUGGGCCUUUUAAAAGGUCCAAGGAUAAAAAGACUCAUCUUUUGGUAGCUAUUGACAAGUUUACAAAGUGGAUUGAAGCCAAGCCGGUCAGCAAAUGUGAUGCAGUCACGGCAGUUCAAUUCAUUAAAAAGGUGAUCUUUCGUUUUGCCUAUCGUCAUAGUAUCAUUACUAAUAAUGGUACUAAUCUGUCUAAGGGGGCAAUGAAAGAAUUCUGUCAAUAAGAGCAUAUCCGGCUUGAUGUAUCAUCAGUGGCUCACCCCCAGUCUAGUGCUCAAGCUUAACGAGCUAAUCAAGAAAUCUUGAAGGGUAUCAAGCCCCGGCUUGUGGUCCCUUUGCAGAGGACACCGGGUUGUUGGGUGGAAGAAUUGCCCUCCAUGCUUUGGAGUAUCAAUACCACCCCCAACAGAUCUACGGGUUACACGCCUUUCUUCAUGGUACGGAGCAGAGGCGGUUAUCCCUAGUGAUAUACGUCACGACUUGCCCCGUGUGGCGGCUUAUGUUGAAGCUGAUAAUGAGAAAGCACGUCAGGAUGCUAUUGACCUAUUUGAUGAAGAGCGUGACCUUGCGGCGGCUCGUUCGAUGAUUUACCAGCAAGAUCUGCGUCAUUAUCACAGCUGCCUGGUUAAAAUCAGAACCUUUCAAGAAGGAGAUUUGGUGCUUAGGCUCAUCCAGGAUCAAAGUAACAUGCACAAGCUAUCUCCACCUUGGGAAGGACGCUUUGUGGCCAGCAAAAAUCUGAACAACGGGUCAUACUACCUUAUCGAUGUUCGAGACCACAAGGACUCAUGCACGUCGGAGGAGACCCACCGGCCAUGGAAUAUUGCUCAUCUUCGGCCUUAUUACACCUGAGCCACCGGCUCUCAUGAUCUACAUAUCUUCACCAAUGUAUACAUUAUGAUUAGUAUAAUAAAGUCGGCAUCACUGAUGAUUCAGGGCCUCUGUCGUUUCAUUUCCGAGAAUCUGAGUCUUUAUUGUUACUUCAUAACAUCACUUGGGGGCUUCCUGCUCAUUGAGCAUAGCUAUGAUAACCCUUUUGAUCCGACUUGUACGCCUUGAUUACAAAAAACUUGGGGGCUUCCUUCUCAUUGAGCAUAGCUGUGACUACCCAACUGGUCCGGCUUGAACGCGUGGAUCAAAGUAUUACUUGGGGGCUUCUUGUUAAAUGAACAUGAACUUUGUUGUCCUUCGUAAUAGGCUUGGACGCCACGUGUAUUCACCAAAAAUCCGGGUUAUCCUGCCUUUGUAUGCUUGCCACUCUGACCAGAUAAUCCUGGAAUGACUCGUCGUACUCUUGACAGUUACUCUUUUAAAGACCCUGAACUUGUCAAUGUUAAAACAUCAAUUGGUCAUGUCAGGCCCGGCUUACAGGUUUGAAUUAAGGAAUAACUAAGUGGCUGUGCGACCCUUGAAUAGAACUUGAUGUUGAGACCUGGCAGCCUUUGAAUGCCUUGACCUUUCUGGUUUAUAUUGACUUUGAAUUUUUUUUCUUGACAAUUUCUAUUUGUGCCAUAUCGAUAUAUGGUUGAAAUUUGAUUCAGACCAUGAUGCCUUAAUCGUUAUUUGCUAAUACCCGGUGUUUGUUAACCCGGCCUGGCUUUGGACGUUAAGUCGCGAGUAUAUGAUUAUCAUAUGUUUGGAGUCCUGUACUCCCAAAUUUUGGGGGAUGUUGCCCUUUGCUGUCUAAGGCGUGGUAAGCCGGCAGCGUCGAUAAAUUACACAGAGUUGCGCUCUAUAUUGGGACUGUUGCCCUUAUUGCAUAUGGCCUGGUAAGCCAGCAAUACACAUAAGUAUCAUAGGUAUGAUAUUUAUUUUGUAAUCAUUAUAUGAGGUUUUGAUAAACCGGCCCUGGUUAUGGAUGUUACCAUCACUAGUGGCUUAUUAUAUGGGGAUUAUUGAGCUGCCUUGGGGUAAACCGCCAAGGCACUUGUGCUAUGUUUGUAUGCAGGGUUUAUGACAAUGAGCUUAGGCAAAAUUGAUAAUGAGUAUGAGCAUAAAUAUUGGAUCAUCAAAGAAGAUCAAAACAGCUCAACGGUGUUAUGCAGAUCAACAUGCUUGAUGGCAUGACAGACAAUUGUUUAAAGCUAGCCUAUUACAAGGCAGCUGACGGCCCAAAAGAAUAAGUGUUUUUUGCAAAGUAUUUCAGCUGGCAGAUGCUAAGCUGGCCUGCGGCUCACAUGUCUUGGCCUUGGCGAGUUGAGGGUUGUGGGUCAUCCAGCGCCGGUUCAUCCUCCUCCUCUUCACCCAUUGGCUAUAAGUCAGGGGUUGCCCAGUUGAUCCCAGUCAAAGCUUCAUCACUAAUAAGUGUUGACGGGUCAAUGUCAGGAGCAAAAGUGUGCUUACGGAUUGGAGGAGUAAGGUCUUGUGAAUCAUGGGUUGGCGCCUUGACCUUCUUGUUGUCAGCGUCGUAAGCCGGCUAAUAAUGCGACAGAUCGGUAUCUUCACCUAGCUUGCUUGCUAGAGGAUGCAUCUCCCUUGCUAUUAAAGCGAAGUCCUCAGCGCUAAAGGGAUAUCCGUCCUCUUUCACACUGGGGCAGCCGUUAGCCAAGUCUUCCGGGUCAAGAUCUGCUUGCCAUGCUUUAGCCCGGGUCAGCACGGUGAGUGCACUGGCUUUUGCAGUUGAUUUAUUAAGUUCCUCGAUCCACAGGGGCAGCACAGAUAGCUUCUCCAACGUGUCCUUGAUGAGGGUUGGUGGUUGUUUCUUAUGCACAGCUAUGCAAAUGGCUCGUUGCGCACCAGUAUAUAAUUGGUCUACAAGGGUGUAGGCGGCUUUCAAUUUCUUGCGCAUAUCCAAGCCAAGGUGGGCGAUUUUGGAGCCUGCAUUAUCAAGAAAAUCUAUAAGCCAGAUGAAUAGUGAUUACAAUGCAUUGGUAGUAACAAAUUGAGAUGAUGUUACUUACUGACGAUGGCAGCAGUCAUGGCAUUUAUUUGAUGUUUUAAACUGGCGAGCUCUUCAGUCACCGGCUUAAGAGCCGCUUCAGUAUCCUCCGCUCUUUUCAACAGAGCUGAUUUCUCUGUCUCCCAGCCUGCUUGAUCAGUCUUGCAGUCUUUCUUCAGCUUUUCUAUCUCUGCCAAGGAGGUGGUUAAUUCUGUUUUAGCCUUGGAGGUUUCAGAUUGCUGAGACUUGAUGUUUUCUUGAAGAUCAGCAACUUGGGAGUCUUUGGCAGUAAGUUCAGCCUGUAGGAUAUAAACAAUAGCCGGGUUAAAGUCAUCUUAUUUAAAAGUCCCAAGCACAUACAAGUAUUUCACUUAGCACUUGGGGGCUAAUGCACAUUGCUCUUUUCCAAGACAAGUUUAUGAUGACCCGACUGCUUUAUGAUGACUAUAGCUGAUUCAUGGGGGCUAUAUAUUUGGAUUUUAUGGACAACUAUGGUAAUGAGACCCGGCUCAUCUUGACAGAUUAAGCCGACUGUCGGUGUCAAAACCGGCGGAUCUUGGGCAGGGGGUCCCGAACUGUGCGUCUAGGCGGAUGAUAACAGGAGACGAGGGACACGAUGCUUUACCCAGGUUCGGGCCCUCUCGAUGGAGGUAAAACCCUACGUCCUGCUUGAUUAAUAUUGAUGUUAUGGGUAGUACAAGAGUGGAUCUACCACGAGACCAAGGAGGCUAAACCCUAAAGCUAGCCUAUGGUAUGAUUGUUGUAAUGUAUGUUGUCCUACGGACUAAAGCCCUCCGGUUUAUAUAGACACCGGAGGAGGCUAGGGUUACACAGAGUCGGUUACAAUGGUAGGAGAUCUACAUAUCUGUAUCGCCAAGCUUGCCUUCCACGCCAAGGAAAGUCCCAUCCGGACACGGGACGGAGUCUUCAAUCUUGUAUCUUCGUAGUCUUGGAGUCCGGCGGACGAUGAUAGUCUGGCUAUCCGGACACCCCCUAGUCCAGGACUCCCUCAGUAGACCCUGAACCAGGCUUCAAUGACGAUAAGUCCGGCGCGCAUAAUGUUCGGCAUUGCAAGGCGGGUUCAUCCCUUGAAUAAUCCAGAGAAGAUCAUGAACACCAGGAUAGUGUCCGGCUCUACAAAAUAAAUUCCACAUUCCACCGUAGAGAGAAUAAUGCACAUAAAUCCAAUCUGCUGACGUUUUAUGCGGCAUGACAUCAUACCGCUUCCAAGCCUUUAUUUGAAUCGUUUUUAUUAUACCACCUCAGCACGUUUAGCGAAGCGGUUUCCUUGGCACGUCUUGUCGAAGCAGAGAUCGUGUUCCCCUUAUUCCGGGAUUCUCAUCAAUACGGACGUGGGUAACCCAACCGCGCCACUGAUGGUGGCGCUUGGGAGAUAAGCGAGUUUUACCAGGCUGGCGGGGGACGCAUAGUCUUCGUCCGCCUAUAUAUACGGGAUAAGGAUUUACCUUCUCACCUACGCCUUCUUCCUCCUUUGCUUAUCCAUCUCCUCGCACUCAAGCUCCAACGCCCAAGCUCACGCAUCUCGCCUCGACCUUCUCCGAAUAUGUCCGGAGCGGGAGGCAAAUGGUUGGCCUCCACCGUUAAGGAGGAGCACAUCACCAAGUUGCGCAGCGCCGGAUACCUGUCUAGUGACAUCGCGCAUCGGCUGCCCGACAAGGGGCAGCUCAUCCCCACCCCCGGGCCCCAUGAGAGGGUUGUUUUCCUCCCCCACUUCCUCCGCGGACUGGGCUUUCUACUCCACCCAUUCGUCCGGGGGCUCAUGUUUUACUACGGCCUGGAUUUCCACGAUCUGGUGCCGAACUUCAUCCUCAACAUCUCGGCGUUUAUCGUCGUGUGCGAGGCCUUCCUCUGCAUCCGGCCCCACUUCGGCCUGUGGCUCAAGACCUUCAACGUCAAGCCGAAGGUUGUGAAGGGCACGCAAGCGGAAUGCGGAGGCGCCAUGUUGGGCAAGUUGCCCAACGUCCUUUGGCUCGAAGGGGCCUUCGUGGAUUCCGUUAAGGGGUGGCACUUGGGGUGGUUCUACAUUACCGAGCCGCGCGAGCCCACAUGGGCGGCGGCCCCCGAGUUUAGAUCUGGCAUCCCCAUGCAGCUCACCUCCUGGAAAGAGAAGGGCUUGUUGUGGGGCAAUCCGAAGGAGCUGAAGGGACUCCGAGCCUGCAUCCAGAAGCUGGUGAGCAAUAAGCUCGGGCUCGUCGACGUGGUCCAGGUCAUACUCAUCCGCCGGAUUCUCCCAUGCCAAGAACGGGCAUUUAAUCUGUGGGAGUUCAAUCCGGAACAGCACCAGCCGCUAAGCGGGCUCUUCGACACGACGUAUGAAGGCGCAUGGAGGGUGCUGUUUAAGGGCGCCGAAGCCCCGGCAUCCGCGACGGAAGAUCGCGGAUUUUGCUCCCAGCAUCCAGCUGACGAGGUAAGUGAUUCAACCCCUUUACGGGACACUUGUGGUAAAUAGAUUGAUUCUAAGAGGGUUUCAAUCUCUCCUUUCCUUUGGCAGGAAUGGAUGGAGAAGGCCGAGCAGCUCAUCUAUCUGGCUCCCAUGCCAGAAGAUCCAGUGGACGCCAGUCUAGCGGGGCUGCUGGUUCCGGCACCGCACGUGGUGCCGGAGAAGAAGGCCAAGAAGGUGGCCGCGGGGACUUGAAAGAGUUCCCGCAAUCAAGCGUCCUACGACGAGGCGGACUCCUCCCCCGAAGACGAGGAGGAGGAAGAAGACUCUCUCCCGAAGGAGGGAGAGAAGAAGAGGAAGGCUUCCCCAAUAGGGGAGGCCGAAGGGUCCAAGAGGGGGAGAACUAUUCCCCCGGACAGUUUCGCCAACACCAUCAUUGGCGAGGAGGAGUGGCCUUCAAGGGACAGGCGUCCGGCGAGAUCGUAAGUAUCCGGAUCCCUGAUAUGCAAUUUCUUUCGUGUCACCUUGUGUCCUACUAAUGCCGCAUUCUAUCCGUAGUCCGGCCGAUGAUGAUCUCCCCGCUUCAUUGAGCGGGUCAUUGGCCCCAUCGGAUGUGGAUUCACUUCCGACUGCCUCUACCCCCCGCGCCGACGAGGACGCCGAGGUGGGAUCCCAGAGAGGGACCCAUCAGGAGGAGGCUCCGGAGGCGCCGCCAGGCAGCUUCCUGGACUUUGCGCCGGACUCUACAUCGGAACCUGCUGUGGUUCCAGAGUCCGGCAGGCGGCCCCUUCAAAAGAAGGGCAAGACCGUGACACCGGCGACCUCCGUCCAACCGGAGGCGCCGGAUAACUUGUUGGAGGCGCUUAAAGGUGCUUCCAUCGAGGAAGAACACCGCACUAUCAUGAGUGCGGUGAUUCAGAAGAUUCAGCUCGCCAAGAGCAGGCUGACCGAAGCUUGCAGCAGCCUUCUAACAGGCUUUGAGGUAAGAAGUUAUAAUUAUGUAAUGUAAUAUCGCAUAGACAGUAGCCCCUGAUGCUCGGUUCGGUGUUCGGAAAGAAAAGCCGGACUGAGGAUCUAAUAAGAUAUACGCAGGGUUGCUUAAAAUAUGUCAAUAUGGGUUUGCAGGCUGCGCUGCUGACCUCUGCCGCACUGACUGCGGAGGUCGGUGCGUUGAAGCAAGAUCUCGAGCGGUCCGAGCAAGAGCUCGGCCAUGCCAAGAAGCAGCUCGAGGACAAAGAAGGUGAGUAACACCACUUUGAAUAGUUACCUUACAGAAAAGGAUUUAGGUUGCAAUAAAAUUAACAAGGAUAAUAUGGGUAUUGCAGGGGCCACGAAUGAGGUGGCAGCCCUGAAGGAGGCUGUGUCCGCGGCCGAACGCAGUGCGGCUGCGGAACGGGCAGAGCGAGAAAAGAGGGAGGCACAAGUGGCGGAAGUACGGCAAGAGCUCCAGGCUCUCAUGGAGAAGCAUGAGAGCUUGGAGCGUGACUCCAAGACUCGAGAGUCCGAGCUUGCCUCGGCUCUCGAAAGUGCCAAGUCCGCCAAGGCCGAGGCCCGUAAGGCCCUUCAGGAGGUUGAAGAUUUAAAGAAGAUAGCGGCGGGUAAGGCAUUUUUCAUACAAAGCAAGCAUGUUAAUGUAAACUACCUGACACUUACCCGCAUUCGGAGCUCUCUAGGGGCGUUUGCAGAUCUGCCGCGUAGUGCGUCCGAUGCCGCCGCAUUCUAUCGUGGCGAGGAGGGGAGCUCGACGGAGAAGGUCUUCUGGUCUCAGUAUGCUGAGGCCGGCCAUCUGGUGCCCCCAAGCGACCAGCUGAAGCAGCUGGUCGAACUCCACAAGGUAGCUGAGGAGGCCAUGAAGGGCCUUAUAGUCCGGCUGUGGCCUGGACAGGCCAUGCCUGGGAGCUACUUCGGCCUCGUGCGGCGGCUGGUGGAUGCGUGUCCCUGGGUGGAGGUCAUCAAGCGCUCCGCCUGCAUUGAAGGUGCUCGUCGGGCCCUUGCCUGCACAAAGGUGCACUGGGGCAGGCUGGAUGUGGAGAAGCUUCUCACGGACGCGCCGCCACCAGGCAAGGAGUAUCGUACGCCCGAAAUGUAUUACAAAACUGUCCUGAAGGGAGCCCGCGAUAUUGCGGAUGAGUGCCCCAGAGAUGUAAUUUUUGAGUAAACCUACUAUGUGUUAUCCUGUGCGCUGAAAACUUUGUUCAUGUGCGCAUUAAGCAACGCUUGUUUAAUUUAAAAUAUUACCUUCUGUGCGGCCGUUUAUAAAAUCUGAGAGAUGGCAAGUCGUUGGCUUCAGCCCCCGAGCCACGAGUGCUGGGGUAUUCGGGAUAAACUUGAGCACUCUUGUUCCCAUUUUUGGGUCCAUCUAGGGAGGCGCUCAACACAAUGAACAAGGCAACCAGACUUAUAAUGCUUGAACACUCUCACUUGGCCAUAGAAUUCUAUAAUUUUAAAUUUCGGCGAAGCCCCUGGUAUUCGGAAGACCGAAUCCGGGGCGCUAUCCACGCCUUCAUCGGACAUUGUCCGGAACUUCGCUCGAAGCGGCGUGAGUCUUUAAGGACCCGAAAAAACCUCUCGAACAGCGACCAGUCUCUCGCCUUAUCAUGCCGGUCAGUUUUAGCUUUCUCCACUGAGGCGCUCGCCCGGCUCAACCGGGGCGCAAUCGCAGUGGUUCUUCCAGUGCCACCUUAGCCGACAGAAUGGAACGUAAGGCACCAAAAUGUGGGAGCCGGGCAAACCCAACUAUUGACCCAAGACAUGAUUCGGAGCCGAUUCAUAUAAUGCUAUAAGUUCGGGGUGCCGCACUUAUGAAAGUGUUCGUACUUAUCACACCAUAAUGUGGGGAACAUAAGCCCCUGGUGUAUUAGGCCGUACCAAAAUAUACGGGUGCAAGAUGUCAUGUAAUGAACAUAUAUAUAUAUAAGGUAAUGUAAUUGCAGUCAAAAAGGUGCUGAUUAUUUAUUAAAGGAAGUCUGCUAUGAGUGCGGACUGAUACAAACAGUGCGGUAAGCAAGGGAUUUGGACUAAUCUAACAUGUCCCCCUCCAAGGAUGGGCUGCGGAUGUUGUGUAUAUAAUCAAAUUUAAUGCUCGUAAUUAAGACCACCUGAGUGUUCGUCGCAGCCUUCUUUCCUCCCUGGCUGUUGCAUCAUGAGUUCGGCAGGUCCACCGCCGGACAGGGCCUCUGGUUAACGGAGUCAUGUGUAUACAGAGAAGGAAAAUGAUAAUAAAAAAAGGGGGCACACUUGCGAGCCCCUUGUGUGGUCGAGCUGCACUCUGGUUCCAUUGUGAUCGUGCCCCUUCCCCCGCGCCCAUGGUAUCUCCAAAGCGUAAUGAUGUACGCGGAGGGUUGUUAUUGCAAUCAUGCGAGGGCAGGGGUUAGGGCCGCAUUGCUACGCGUUCUCGUAUCGUGCCAGGUUGUCUUGGUUGGUACUGCUUCGGGCACGUUUUGCUGUAUCCGGCCGUUUAACGGCCGGACUCGAAAAUUGCCUUAAAAGGCUGCUCUAUACUUCUGCCGCGAGAGCCGCUGUAUGUUCCUCUGUUCGGAGGGAGCGUUCCGUAUUUCCGUUUGCAUCUUGAGCUUGAGGUAUGCAUAAUGCGGCGCCGCGUUGAACUUUGCAAACGCGGUUCGUCCGAGCAGAGCGUGAUAGCCGCUGCGAAAUGGGACUAUGUCAAAGAUUAACUCUUCGUUCCGGAAAUUGUCAGGGGAUCCGAAGACCACUUCCAGUGUGACUGAGAACGUACAAUUGGCUUCCACACCUGGUAUGACACCUUUAAAGGUUGUCUUUGUAGGUUUAAUCCUUGAGGGGUCUAUGCCCAUCUUGCGCACUGUAUCCUGAUAAAGCAGGUUCAGGCUACUACCGCCAUCCAUCAGGACUCUCGUGAGGUGAAAUCCAUCGAUGAUUGGGUCUAGAACCAAUGUGGCGAAUCCACCAUGGCGUAUGCUGGUCGGAUGGUCUCUUCGAUCGAAAGUGAUCGGACAAGAGGACCAUGGAUUGAACUUCGGGGCGACUGGCUCCAUCGCAUAGAUGUCCCUUAGUGCGCGCUUCCUCUCCCUCUUGGGUAUAUGGGUUGCAUAAAUCAUGUUCACCUUCCGUACUUGUGGGGGGAAGCCCUUCUGUCCUCUAUUGUUCGGCGGUCGGGUCUCCUCCUCGUCGUCGCUGUUUAGCCCCUUGUCAUUGUUUUCGGCAAUUAACUUGCCUGCCUGCUUGAACACCCAGCAAUCUCUGUUGGUGUGAUUGGCUGGCUUUUCGGGGGUGCCAUGUAUCUGGCAUAAGCGGUCGAGUAUUCGGUCCAAGUUGGACGGACCCGGAGUGGUUCUUUUGAAUGGCUUCUUCCGCUGACCGGGUUUAGAGCCUCGGAAUCCGGCGUUGACUGCCGUAUCCUCCUUAUCGUCGCCAUUAAUGCGGUGUUUGUUUUUGUUUCGACGUGACCUGUCGUUGUUGUCCUUAGUAUCCGGACUGCCAGAAUUUUUCCUGAGGUUGUUGCUGCGAGCUAGCCAGCUAUCCUCUCCCGCGCAGAAGCGGGUCAUUAAUGAUGUGAGGGCUGCCAUGGAUUUCGGCUUUUCCUGUCCCAGGUGCCGGGCUAGCCACUCGUCACGGAUGUUAUGUUUGAAGGCUGCAAGGGCCUCUGUAUCCGGACAGUCGACGAUUUGGUUUUUCUUUGUCAAGAACCGUGUCCAGAAUUGUCUGGCCAAUUCGUCUGGCUGCUGAAUUAUGUGGCUUAGGUCAUCGGCGUCUGGUGGCCGCACAUACGUGCCCUGGAAGUUAUCGAGGAAUGCGGCUUCCAGGUCUUCCCAACACCCAAUUGACUCUGCGGGCAAGCUGUUAAGCCAAUGCCGAGCUGGUCCUUUAAGCUUGAGUGGGAGAUACUUGAUGGCAUGGAGAUCGUCUCCGCGGGCCAUAUGGAUGUGAAGAAGAUAAUCUUCGAUCCAAACCGCGGGGUCUGUUGUGCCAUCGUAGGAUUCGAUGUUUACGGGUUUAAACCCUUCAGGGAUUUGAUGAUCCAUUACUUCGUCAGUGAAGCAUAGCGGGUGUGCGGCGCCUCUGUAUUGAGCAAUAUCACGACGCAGCUCGAGAGAGCGUUGUCUGCUGUGUUCGGCCCUGCCGGGGUUAUUGUAUCUGGCACGAUGGUAUUCGUCAUGGGUCGUGGGGCGCCCACGUGAUCCGUAGAUGGAUCUGGAUUGCCUUGCUUUGUCCUCCAAUAUAUCUCGCAAGUCCGGCGCGUUCCCUCUUGGCUUCGUACUUUUGGAGCGAUGCCGGGGUACGGUCUUGGUUGGGGGCCUGGAUGCCUCUCUGUCACGACCACGGGGUGGUCGGUCAGCCGUAUCAUGCGCUGGUGAUGGAGGUAUGUAUGCUUCCUCCUCUAAUCAGGGGAGCAGCUUGCGUCUUGGGUAACUUUUGGAGGGGCGUUUGAGUUUAUACUCUUCAGCUGCGAGGACCUCGGUCCAUCGAUCGGCCAGCAGAUCCUAAUCAGCUUGAAGCUGCUGCUGCUUUUUCUUUAGGCUAUUUGCCGUGGCGAUAAGCCUGCGUUUGAAACGCUCUUGUUCGACGGGAUCCUUGGGCACGACGAAUUCGUCGUCGUUGAGGCUUGCCUCGUCUUCGGAGGGAGGUGUAUAGUUAUAAUCCUCAACCUCUUCGUCUGCCACCCUCUCGUGAGGGCUUGCUUCUGCAUCCUCCCGCGCUGAGUCUUGCUGGAGGGGAUUAUCUUCGGCACUCUGUGGGGUAUUAUUAUCUCCUGUGCCGGAAUCUCCAUUCUUGCUGUGGCGGGAUUUAGAGCGGCCCCGCUGACGCCGGCGCUUGGGCUGUUUCUUUAAAGAAUCUGCCUCCGCUGCUUCUUCGCCGUCCCCGUCUUUUGGGGUGUCCACCAUGUAUAUGUCGUAUGAUGAUGUGGUCUUCCAGUGCCCUGUAGGCGCUGGUUCCUGUUUGUCUCCGACAUCGUCGUCCAUAGCAUCGAUGUCUUCGGAGUCGUAGUCUAGCAUGUCGGUUAGAUCGUCGACAGUGGCUACAAAGUGGGUGGUGGGUGGGCUCUGAAUUUCUUCGUCGUCCGUAUCCCAACCAUCCUGGCCAUAGUCCGGCCAGGACUCUCCGGAUAGCGAGAGAUGCUUUAGCGAGUUUAGGAUGUCGCCAAAGGGCGAGUGUUGGAAGAUGUCCAUUGCGGUGAAUUCCAUAACCGGCGCCCAAUCAGAUUCGAUUGGCAGGGGCGCGGGAGGUCUGGAGUCCGGCAAGGAGUCCGGCACCUCGGAGUCACGAGCUUCGCGAGGGACAAGCGUAGUGUUCGGCUCCAACGCCGUGGAAGUUGAAGCCCCCGAGGCGGUGUCUAACCACCGGUCCUCGAUCUGGGUGAUCGGCUCCGGUCUAAGGGCCAGAGCGGAUUGUUGUGCGGCCACCAAGGCACUGUUCGGUGACAGAGCUAGAUCAUGCCCAUCGUAACAGUGCGGCACGCUCGGCUGUGGCUCGAGCCCGUCGAAGAUCAAGUCCCCGCGGAUGUCGACCGUGAAGUUUAGGCUUCCGAAUCUAACCUGAAGGCCAGGGGCGUAGCUUUCGAUCUGCUCCAUAUGGCCAAGCGAAUUAGCCCGCAGUGCGAAGCCGCCGAAUACGAAGAUCUGUCCGGGGAGAAAAGUCUCACCCUGGACAGCGUCGUUGGUUGAAGAUGCCAUCGAACCUAUCGGUGACGACACAGAGGAACUCUCAAUGAAAGCACCAAUGUCGGUGUCAAAACCGGCGGAUCUCGGGUAGGGGAUCCCGAACUGUGCGUCUAGGCGGAUGGUAACAGGAGACGAGGGACACGAUGUUUUACCCAGGUUCAGGCCCUCUCGAUGGAGGUAAAACCCUACGUCCUGCUUGAUUAAUAUUGAUGAUAUGGGUAGUACAAGAGUGGAUCUACCACGAGAUCAAGGAGGCUAAACCCUAAAGCUAGCCUAUGGUAUGAUUGUUGUAAUGUAUGUUGUCCUACGGACUAAAGCCCUCCGGUUUAUAUAGACACCAGAGGAGGCUAGGGUUACACAGAGUCGGUUACAAUGGUAGGAGAUCUACAUAUCCGUAUCGCCAAGCUUGCCUUCCACGCCAAGGAAAGCCCCAUCCGGACACGGGACGGAGUCUUCAAUCUUGUAUCUUCGUAGUCUUGGAGUCCGGCGGACGAUGAUAGUCCGGCUAUCUGGACACCCCCUAGUCCAGGACUCCCUCACCGACCCUUGGGGGCUAUAGGUGAAGUUAAAUCAUUACUAUUCAAAGUCCCACCUCAUCUUGACAUAUUAAGCCGGCCCUUGGGGGAUACAUAUGCAAAGUUGAAGUAUUAUUAUUGGAAGUCCCGGUUUAUCUUGAAAGUAUAAAUCGGCCCUUGGGGGCUACUGGACUUGAUCUACAAAGCUAUUUGAAGUCUACAACAAAUUCUAUUCUAUCAUGUCCAGUAAACUUGGCGGCUAAUGGAAGUGUAUUCAUAUGAAGAGAGUUGUAAUGUUUACCUCAAAGCGCUCCUUCAUCAAGUUUACUAAGUCAGCUUCAAAGUGAUGGCUUGUGUACAGGAGGUUCAGGUACCUAGAGUGAAUCUCUUGGGCACUAAAGUGGGCAUAGCUUAAUAGAUUGGCUGACCACUUGCCUUUGUCAACAACGGAAAUUUCUUCCUUAGCGUUGUGCUUUGAUAGGACAGUGGUGAAGGAAAUAUGCCCUAGAGGCAAUAAUAAAGUUAUUAUUUAUUUCCUUAUAUCAUGAUAAAUGUUUAUUAUUCAUGCUAGAAUUGUAUUAACCAGAAACAUGAUACAUGUGUGAAUACAUAGACAAACAUAACGUCACUAGUAUGCCUCUACUUGACUAGCUCAUUAAUCAAAGAUGGUUAUGUUUCCUAACCAUAGACAUGUGUUGUCAUUUGAUUAAUGAGAUCACAUCAUUAGGAGAAUGAUGUGAUUGACAUGACCCAUUCCGUUAGCCUAGCACUUGAUUGUUUAGUAUAUUGCUAUUGCUUUCUUCAUGACUUAUACAUGUUCCUGUAACUAUGAGAUUAUGCAACUCCCGUUUACCGGAGGAACACUUUGGGUGCUACCAAACGUCACAACGUAACUGGGUGAUUAUAAAGGAGUACUACAGGUGUCUCCGAAGGUACAUGUUGGGUUGGCGUAUUUCGAGAUUAGGUUUUGUCACUCCGAUUGUCGGACAGGUAUCUCUGGGCCCUCUCGGUAAUGCACAUCACUAUAAGCCUUGCAAGCAAUGUAGCUAAUGAGUUAGUUACGGAAUGAUGCAUUAUGUAACGAGUAAAGAGACUUGCCGGUAACGAGAUUGAACUAGGUAUUGGAUACCAACGAUCGAAUCUCGGGCAAGUACCAUACCGAUGACAAAGGGAACAACGUAUGUUGUUAUGCGGUUUGACCGAUAAAGAUCUUCAUAGAAUAUGUAGGAGCCAAUAUGGGCAUCCAGGUUCCUCUAUUGGUUAUUGACCGAGAAUAGUUCUAGGUCAUGUAUAUAUAGUUCUCGAACCCGUAGGGUCCGCACGCUUAACGUUACGAUGACAGUUUUAUUAUGAGUUUAUAAGUUUUGAUGUACCGAAGUUUGUUCGGAGUCUAGGAUGUGAUCACGGACAUGACGAGGAGUCUCGAAAUGGUCGAGACAUAAAGAUUGAUAUAUUGGACGACUAUAUUCGGACACCGGAAGUGUUCCGGGUGGUUUCGGAGAAAACCGGAGUGCCGAAGGNNNNNNNNNNNNNNNNNNNNNNNNNNNNNNNNNNNNNNNNNNNNNNNNNNNNNNNNNNNNNNNNNNNNNNNNNNNNNNNNNNNNNNNNNNNNNNNNNNNNNNNNNNNNNNNNNNNNNNNNNNNNNNNNNNNNNNNNNNNNNNNNNNNNNNNNNNNNNNNNNNNNNNNNNNNNNNNNNNNNNNNNNNNNNNNNNNNNNNNNNNNNNNNNNNNNNNNNNNNNNNNNNNNNNNNNNNNNNNNNNNNNNNNNNNNNNNNNNNNNNNNNNNNNNNNNNNNNNNNNNNNNNNNNNNNNNNNNNNNNNNNNNNNNNNNNNNNNNNNNNNNNNNNNNNNNNNNNNNNNNNNNNNNNNNNNNNNNNNNNNNNNNNNNNNNNNNNNNNNNNNNNNNNNNNNNNNNNNNNNNNNNNNNNNNNNNNNNNNNNNNNNNNNNNNNNNNNNNNNNNNNNNNNNNNNNNNNNNNNNNNNNNNNNNNNNNNNNNNNNNNNNNNNNNNNNNNNNNNUAGGACUAGGAAAGGGGAGUCCUACUCCCACUAGGAGGAGGACUCCCCCCUCCUUGGCGCUCCCCCUAGGGCCGGCCGGCCUCCCCCCUUGCUCCUUUAUAUACGGGGGCAGGGGGCACCCUAGAGACACGUAAGUUGAUAUACGAAUCGUUCCUUAGCCGUGUGCGGUGCCCCCCUCCACCAUAUUCCACCUCGGUCAUAUCGUCGCGGAGUUUAGGCGAAGCCCUGCGCCGGUAGAGCAUCAUCAUCGUCACCACGCCAUCGUGCUGACGGAACUCAUCCCCGACACUUUGCUGGAUCGGAGUCCGGGGAUCGUCAUCGAGCUGAACAUGUGCUGAAUUCGGAGGUGCCGUACGUUCGGUACUUGGAUCAGUCGGAUUGUGAAGACGUACGACUACAUCAACCGCGUUGUCAUAAUGCUUCCGCUUACGGUCUACGAGGGUACAUGGACAACACUCUCCCCUCUCGUUGCUAUGUCAUCACCAUGAUCUUGUGUGUGCGUAGGAAAUUUUUUGAAAUUACUACGUUCCCCGACAGUGGCAUCCGAGCCUGGUUUUAUGCGUAGAUGUCAUAUGCACGAGUAGAACACAAGUGAGUUGUGGGCGAUACAAGUCAUACUGCUUACCAGCAUGUCAUACUUUGGUUCGGCAGUAUUGUGAGAUGACGCGGCCCUGACCGACAUUACGCGUACGCUUACGCGAGACUGGUUUCACCGUUACGAGCACUCGUGCUUAAAGGUGGCUGGCGGGUGUCUGUCUCCCACACUUUAGCUGAAUCGAGUGUGGCUACGCCCGGUCCUUGCGAAGGUUAAAACAGCAGUAACUUGACGAACUAUCGUUGUGGUUUUCAUGCGUAGGUAAGAACGGUUCUUGCUAAGCCCGUAGCAGCCACGUAAAAUUUGCAACAACAAAGUAGAGGACGUCUAACUUGUUUUUGCAGGGCAUGUUGUGAUGUGAUAUGGUCAAGACGUGAUGCUAUAUUUUAUUGUAUGAGAUGAUCUUGUUUUGUAACCGAAGUUAUCGGCAACUGGCAGGAGCCAUAUGGUUGUCGCUUUAUUGUAUGAAAUGCAAACGCCCUGUAAUUGCUUUACUUUAUCACUAAGCGGUAGCGAUAGUCGUAGAAGAAAUAGAUGGCGUAACGACAAUGAUGCUACGAUGGAUAUCAAGGUGUCGCGCCGGUGACGAUGGUGAUCACGACGGUGCUUCCAAGAUGGAGAUCACAAGCACAAGAUGAUGAUGGCCAUAUCAUAUCACUUAUAUUGAUUGCAUGUGAUGUUUAUCCUUUAUGCAUCUUAUCUUGCUUUGAUUGACGGUAGCAUUUUAAGAUGAUCUCUCACUAAAAUUAUCAAGAAGUGUUCUCCCUGAGUAUGCACCGUUGCAAAAGUUCUUCGUGCUGAGACACCACGUGAUGAUCGGAUGUGAUAGGCUCUACGUUCAAAUACAACGGGUGCAAAACAGUUGCACACGCGGAAUACUCAGGUUAAACUUGACGAGCCUAGCAUAUAACAGAUAUGGCCUCGGAACACGGAGACUGAAAGGUCGAGCGUGAAUCAUAUAGUAGAUAUGAUCAACAUAUUGAUGUUCACCGUUGAAACUACUCCAUCUCACGUGACGAUUGGACAUGGUGUAGUUGAUAUGGAUCACGUAAUCACUUAGAGGAUUAGAGGGAUGUCUAUCUAAGUCGGAGUUCUUAAGUAAUAUGAUUAAUUGAACGUAAAUUUAUCAUGAACUUAGUACCUGAUAGUAUUUUGCUUGUCUAUGUUUGUUGUAGAUAGAUGGCUCGUGCUGUUGUUCCGUUGAAUUUUAAUGCGUUCCUUGAGAAAGCAAAAUUGAAAGAUGAUGGUAGCAAUUACACGGACUGGGUCCGUAACCUGAGGAUUAUCCUCAUUGCCGCACAGAAGAAUUACGUCCUGGAAGCACCGCUGGGUGCCAGGCCUUCUGCUGAUGCAACUGACGACGUUAAAAACGUCUGGCAGAGCAAAGCUGAUGACUACUCGAUAGUUCAGUGUGCCAUGCUUUACGACUUAGAACCGGGUCUUCAACGACGUUUUGAACGUCAUGGAGCAUAUGAGAUGUUCCAGGAGUUGAAGUUAAUAUUUCAAGCAAAUGCCCGGAUUGAGAGAUAUGAAGUCUCCAAUAAGUUCUAUAGCUUCAAGAUGGAGGAGAAUAGUUCUGUCAGUGAACACAUACUCAAAAUGUCUGGGUAUAAUAAUCACUUGAUUCAGCUGGGAGUUAAUCUUCCUGAUGAUAGUUUCAUUGACAGAAUUCUUCAAUCACUGCCACCAAGCUACAAGAGCUUCGUGAUGAACUAUAAUAUGCAAGGGAUGGACAAGACUAUUCUCGAGCUCUUCGCAAUGCUAAAAGCCGCGGAGGUAGAAAUCAAGAAGGAGCAUCAAGUGUUGAUGGUUAACAAGACCACCAGUUUCAAGAAAAAGGGCAAAGGGAAGAAGAAGGGGAACUUCAAGAAGAACAGCAAACAAGUUGCUACUCAAGAGAAGAAACCCAAGUCUGGACCUAAGCCUGAAACUGAGUGCUUCUACUGCAAGGAGACUGGACACUGGAAGCGGAACUGCCCCAAGUAUUUGGCGGAUAAGAAGGAUGGCAAAGUGAACAAAGGUAUAUGUGAUAUACAUGUUAUUGAUGUGUAGCUUACUAAUGCUCGCAGUAGCACCUGGGUAUUUGAUACUGGUUCUGUUGCUAAUAUUUGCAACUCGAAACAGGGACUACGGAUUAAGCGAAGAUUGGCUAAGGACGAGGUGACGAUGCGGGUGGGAAAUGGUUCCAAAGUCGAUGUGAUCGCGGUCGGCACGCUACCUCUACAUCUACCAUCGAGAUUAGUUUUAGACCUAAAUAAUUGUUAUUUGGUGCCAGCAUUGAGCAUGAACAUUAUAUCUGGAUCUUGUUUGAUGCGAGACGGUUAUUCAUUUAAGUCAGAGAAUAAUGGUUGUUCUAUUUAUAUGAGUAAUAUAUUUUAUGGUCAUGCACCCUUGAAGAGUGGUCUAUUUUUGUUGAAUCUCGAUAGUAGUGAUACACAUAUUCAUAGUGUUGAAACCAAAAGAUACAGAGUUGAUAAUGAUAGUGCAACUUAUUUGUGGCACUGCCGUUUAGGUCAUAUCGGUGUAAAGCGCAUGAAGAAACUCCAUACUGAUGGGCUUUUGGAAUCACUUGAUUAUGAAUCACUUGGUACUUGCGAACCGUGCCUCAUGGGCAAGAUGACUAAAACGUCGUUCUCCGGAACUAUGGAGCGAGCAACUGAUUUGUUGGAAAUCAUACAUACGAAUGUUUGUGGUCCAAUGAAUGUUGAGGCUCGCGGUGGGUAUCGUUAUUUUCUCACCUUCACAGAUGAUUUGAGCAGAUAUGGGUAUAUCUACUUAAUGAAACACAAGUCUGAAACAUUUGAAAAGUUCAAAGAAUUUUAGAGUGAAGUGGAAAAUCAUCGUAACAAGAAAAUAAAAUUUCUACGAUCUGAUCAUGGAGGAGAAUAUUUGAGUUACGAGUUUGGUCUACACUUGAAACAAUACGGAAUAGUUUCGCCACUCACGCCACCCGGAACACCACAACGAAAUGCUGUGUCCGAACGUCGUAAUCAUACUUUACUAGAUAUGGUGCGAUCUAUGAUGUCUCUUACUGAUUUACCGCUAUUGUUCUGGGGUUAUGCUCUAGAGACGGCCGCAUUCACGUUAAAUAGGGCACCAUCGAAAUCCAUUGAGACGACGCCUCAUGAACUAUGGUUUGGCAAGAAACCAAAGUUGUCGUUUCUUAAAGUUUGGGGCUGUGAUGCUUAUGUGAAGAAACUUCAACCAGAUAAGCUCAAACCCAAAUCAGAGAAAUGUGUCUUCAUAGGAUACCCAAAAGAAACUGUUGGGUACACCUUCUAUAACAGAUCUGAGGGCAAGAUUUCCGUUGCUAAAUUCGGAUCCUUUCUAGAGAAGGAGUUUCUCUCGAAAGAAGUGAGUGGGAGGAAAGUAGAACUUGAUGAGAUAACUGUAUCUGCUCCCUUAUUGGAAAGUAGUUCAUCACAAGAACCGGUUCCUGUGACAACUACACCGAUUAGUGAGGAAGCUAGUGAUAUUAUCAUGAAACUUCAGAUCAAGUUUCUACUGAACCUCGUAGGUCUACCAGAGUGAGAUCCGCACCAGAGUGGUACGGUAAUCCUAUUCUGGAAGUCAUGUUACUUGACCAUGAUGAACCUACGAACUAUGAGGAAGCAAUGAUGAGCCCAGAUUCCGCAAAAUGGCUAGAGGCCAUGAAAUCUAAGAUGGGAUCCAUGUAUGAGAACAAAGUAUGGACUUUGGUUGACUUGCCCGAUGAUCGGCAGGCCAUUGAGAAUAAAUGGAUCUUUAAGAAGAAGACUGACGCUGAUGGUAAUGUAACUGUCUAUAAAGCUCGACUUGUUGCGAAAGGUUUUCGACAAGUUCAAGGGGUUGACUACGAUGAGACUUUCUCACCCGUAGCGAUGCUUAAGUCUGUCCGAAUCAUGUUAGCAAUUGCCGCAUUUUAUGAUUAUGAAAUUUGGCAAAUGGAUGUCAAAACUGCAUUCUUGAAUGGAUUUCUAGAAGAAGAGUUGUAUAUGAUGCAACCAGAAGGUUUUAUUGAUCCAAAAGGUGCUAACAAAGUGUGCAAGCUCCAGCGAUCCAUUUAUGGACUGGUGCAAGCAUCUCGGAGUUGGAAUAAACGCUUUGAUAGUGUGAUCAAAGCAUAUGAUUUUAUACAGACUUUUGGAGAAGCCUGUAUUUACAAGAAAGUGAGUGGGAGCUCUGUAGCAUUUCUAAUAUUAUAUGUAGAUGACAUAUUAUUAAUUGGAAAUGAUAUAGAAUUUCUGGAUAGCAUAAAGGGAUACUUGAAUAAAAGUUUUUCUAUGAAAGACCUCGGUGAAGCUGCUUAUAUAUUGGCCAUCAAGAUUUAUAGAGAUAGAUCAAGACGCUUAAUUGGACUUUCACAAAGCACAUACCUUGAUAAAGUUUUGAAAAAGUUCAAAAUGGAUCAGGCAAAGAAAGGGUUCUUGCCCGUGUUACAAGGUGUGAAAUUGAGUCAGACUCAAUGCCCGACCACAGCAGAAGAUAGAGAGAAAAUGAAAGAUGUUCCCUAUGCUUCAGCCAUAGGCUCUAUCAUGUAUGCAAUGCUAUGUACCAGACCUGACGUGUGCUUAGCAAUAAGCUUGGCAGGAAGGUACCAAAGUAAUCCAGGAGUGGAUCACUGGACAGCGGUCAAGAACAUCCUGAAAUACCUGAAAAGGACUAAGGAGAUGUUUCUCGUAUAUGGAGGUGACAAAGAGCUAGUCGUAAAUGGUUACGUCGAUGCAAGCUUUGACACUAAUCCAUACGAUUCUAAAUCGCAAACCGGAUACGUGUUUUUAUUAAACGGUGGAGUUGUAAGUUGGUGCAGUUCUAAACAAAGCAUCAUGGCGGGAUCUACAUGUGAAGCGGAGUACAUAGAUGCUUCGGAAGCAGCAAAUGAAGGAGUCUGGAUGAAGGAGUUCAUUUCCGAUCUAGGUGUCAUACCUAGUGCAUCGGGACCAAUGAAGAUCUUCGGUGACAAUACUGGGGCAAUUGCCUUGGCAAAGGAAUCCAGAUUUCACAAGAGGACCAAGCACAUCAAGAGACGCUUCAAUUCCAUCCGGGACCAAGUCCAAGUGGGAGAUAUAGAGAUUUGCAAGAUACAUACGGAUCUGAAUGUUGCAAACCCAUUAACUAAGCCUCUCUCACGAGCAAAACAUGAUCAGCACCAAGACUCCAUGGGUGUUAGAAUCAUUACUGUGUAAUCUAGAUUAUUGACUCUAGUGCAAGUGGGAGACUGAAGGAAAUAUGCCCUAGAGGCAAUAAUAAAGUUAUUAUUUAUUUCCUUAUAUCAUGAUAAAUGUUUAUUAUUCAUGCUAGAAUUGUAUUAACCGGAAACAUGAUACAUGUGUGAAUACAUAGACAAACAUAACGUCACUAGUAUGCUUCUACUUGACUAGCUCAUUAAUCAAAGAUGGUUAUGUUUCCUAACCAUAGACAUCUGUUAUCAUUUGAUUAAUGAGAUCACAUCAUUAGGAGAAUGAUGUGAUUGACAUGACCCAUUCCGUUAGCCUAGCACUUGAUCGUUUAGUAUAUUGCUAUUGCUUUCUUCAUGACUUAUACAUGUUCCUGUAACUAUGAGAUUAUGCAACUCUCGUUUACCGGAGGAACACUUUGGGUGCUACCAAACGUCACAACGUAACUGGGUGAUUAUAAAGGAGUACUACAGGUGUCUCUGAAGGUACAUGUUGGGUUGCCGUACUUCGAGAUUAGGUUUUGUCACUCCGAUUGUCGGAGAGGUAUCUCUGGGCCCUCUCGGUAAUGCACAUCACUAUAAGCCUUGCAAGCAAUGUAGCUAAUGAGUUAGUUACGGAAUGAUGCAUUACGUAACGAGUAAAGACACUUGCCGGUAACGAGAUUGAACUAGGUAUUGGAUACCGGCGAUCGAAUCUCGGGCAAGUAACAUACCGAUGACAAAGGGAACAACGUAUGCUGUUAUGUUGUUUGACCGAUAAAGAUCUUCGUAGAAUAUGUAGGAGCCAAUAUGGGCAUCCAGGUUCCGCUAUUGGUUAUUGACCGAGAAUAGUUCUAGGUCAUGUCUACAUAGUUCUCGAACCCGUAGGGUCCGCACGCUUAACGUUACGAUGACAGUUUUAUUAUGAGUUUAUAAGUUUUCAUGUACCGAAGUUUGUUUGUUGUCCCGGAUGUGAUCACGGACAUGACGAGGAGUCUCGAAAUGGUCGAGAUAUAAAGAUUGAUAUAUUGGACGACUAUAUUCGGACACCGGAAGUGUUCCGGGUGGUUUCAGAGAAAACCGGAGUGCCGGAGGGUUACCAGAACCCCCCGGGAGAAGUAAUGGGCCUUAGUGGGCCUGAGGGGAGAGAGAGGGCAGCAGCCUAGGAGGUGGCGCCCCCCCCCCCUUGAGGAGUACGAAUUGGACUAGGGGAGGGGGCGCGACCCCCCUUUCCCUCUCCCUCUCCCUCUCUUUCCUUCCCCCUUCCUCCUUCCUAGUAGGACUAGGAAAGGGGAGUCCUACUCCCACUAGGAGGAGGACUCCCCCUCCUUGGCGCGCCCCCUAGGGCCGGCCGGCCUCCCCCCCUUGCUCCUUUAUAUACGGGGGCAGGGGGGCACCCUAGAGAAACACAAGUUGAUCUACAGAUCGUUCCUUAGCCAUGUGCGGUGCCCCCCUCCACCAUAUUCCAACUCGAUCAUAUCGUCGCGGAGUUUAGGCGAAGCCCUGCGCCGAUAGAGCAUCAUCAUCGUCACCACGCGGUCGUGCUGACGGAACUCAUCCCCGACACUUUGCUGGAUCGGAGUCCGGGGAUCGUCAUCAAGCUGAACGUGUGCUGAACUCGGAGGUGUCGUACGUUCGGUACUUGGAUCGGUCGGAUCGUGAAGACGUACGACUACAUCAACCGCAUUGUCAUAAUGCUUCCGCUUACGGUCUACGAGGGUACGUGGACAACACUCUCCCCUCUCGUUGCUAUGUCAUCACCGUGAUCUUGCGUGUGCGUAGGAAAAUUUUCGAAAUUACUACGUUCCCCAACACGUAGGGUUGCCUUGCUCUAUAUAACCAUGCCCAGUAAUGACAACAUCAUCAGCCUUUUCUUUAGUAGGCUUGAUAGGGCUUGGCGGCUUAGUGGGGCUUGGCGGACUGGUGGUAGCUGGAUCAACAUCCAUCUUGUACAUGUCAAUAUUGUGAUCGAACAGUUGUGGCUCAUCGACGGUGGCUUCAGGAGCUUGAUGGGAGGUCUCUGCUACUGCUGCUCCGGCUCAGAGGGGUUUUCAGUGGUUUUUAUCGCCUUCAUUUUCUUGCUAGGCUUUGUCAUAGCCCUGUGAAUAAAUAGAAGAUAAAGUUAGUACAACAAUUGAGUAUAUAAUUGAAAGCAAAGACUUGACAGUCUUACCCAGGCGCUGGUUUGAAGGCCGGGACAUGAGCCCCGUUGAGUCGCCAGAGGAGGAAUGAGACGUCCCCUGAUAAUUUGAAUCAGAAGGACUAAGAGGUUGUCGAAAAAGACCAGCCCUAGAAUAAGUUAAGUCGGAGCUUGUUGAGACCUCUGGACGACGCUUGCAGGGAGCCGGAGUGUUUGGUAAGCCAGAGGAAAGGAUCCUGCUUCCGCUAUUCCAGGUUGUGCGGCGAGCUUAAUUUUGAUGCUUCUUCAAAAUAAAGUUGGGAUCCAAAUAAGACAAAGGAUGAGAAAACCUUACUUUCUGGCUUGCUUGGUGAGUUUUCGAUUUUGGCACAGAUUCUGAGCCGGAGGAAAGAACAAUUACCUCUUCAUCACCCGCAUGGCUGGCUUCUGCUUCCUCCUAGGAAGAAUCAUUGUCAAUGAGAUGUAUACAAAAUGAGCCAAGAGAGUCGAGUUCUACCUCCGACUCAUCAUCAUCACCAUCAUCAUCCAAGUUUAACUCGGAGGGAUUGGUGUUCUUCUUGGCAGGCCUUUUGGUGGCCUUGGUCUUGGUCCGGGACGGCUUCGCCGGCUUAUAUUGUGGCUUGUUCUUCCAAAACGGAGAAUCAGCCUGUGGAGGUCAGAUGAUCAUAAGUGGAUAGUACUAAUGAAAACAUGUUUCAAAUUGGAAGCAUGAUGUGCAACACUUACAGCAGGCGGCUCGUUGAAGGUGCAGUAAGGACUGAGUCCGGUUUUACUGUAUUCUACCCAGGUUUCAUUCAACAAAGCCUUGGUUGCUUUGGUGACUUCUACAUCAGAUAGUUGAAUUUCACAUUGGUGUUGGGGUUGUUUCAAGUCGCUGGUAUACUCGCACAUUAACCAAGGGCGACGGCUUAGGGGCAAGAUCCUCCAAGAGACCCAGCACCGAACAAGGUCGAUGCCGGUUAAGCCGUUAGCCAUGAAGGCUCUGAGCUUUGAAAAAGUGGGCGCAUACUUGGCCCGUUCCUUCAUGCUGAUCCGUGGUGGGAGUGGAUGUGUGUUGCUAAGCCGGUGGUCAUGAUAACCCGAUAGAGGAUUCUCGCCUGUUGGAGAUGUGUCUUGGCAAUAGAACCAAGUCUGGUUCCAGUCCUUUGGAUGACUGCACGGUUUGGCAUAUGGGAAGGAGGCCUCUUUCUGUUUCUGAAUUGAGACACCACCUAGCUCGAAGUUGGGCCCGUUGGUAAACUAUGUCUGCCGGUUUAAGUAAUAAAACACUCUGAACAGUUCGACUGUGGGCUCUUCUUGAAGAUAAGCUUCAGAAAAUACUUGGAAGUUGCAAAUAUUGGAUACGGAAUUGGGCCCAAUGUCUUGAGGAUGAAGUAGGAAAAAAUGUAGCACAUCUCGGAAGAACUUGAGUCAGGCGGAGUAAACCCCCGGAUCAUGUGGUCAAUUACUUCUCCUUCCUUGGGCUCAGGAGGAUUUUCAAAGCCUGGGACCCUCCAGUGGAUGUCCUCUUUCUUGGCUAAGGCGCCAGUUGCAACGAAAUUGUUCAGAUCUUCCUCGAUGACCCGGGAUGGUACCUAGUUGCAUGCAGUGAAUGUCUUAGUCAUGGUUGACGAUCUGAAAAGAAGAUUUUGUCGGUUUAAGGUUAUUAUGUUAAGCCAGUUGUUGGUUCAAGGGUAAGAACAAUAAAGCAUGCAAGUGUGUUAAGCAUUGGAGCUAUGAAGGCAAACUAUUGGCGGCUUAAGAGGGGACUAAUGGUACCUGGCGGGUUACGGUUUAUAAAUUAAGCCGCCCACAUAGUUAUCGAUUUUUAGAUCUGUGAGUGGAAAAAUUGCUAAGUGUUGGACAAAUAGCUUUCACAGAUCGAUGCUAUGAUUUUGGAUCUACGACGGUUCAAAUAAUGAAGAAAAGUCUAAACCUAAGUUGCGGCAGCAGAGCAGUUCAUGUGCUCACAUGGGAUCUCUCACGGAGAGGAGGUGUUUAAAUAUAAAAAAUGAGUUCUAAGGUUAGUGCCGCACAAGAUGUGCAUUAAACUUAUAGGAAACAGGGAAGAACAAAGAAGAGCGGAGAUGAACUCCGACGAUCUCGCACAAACCCUAAUGGGAUCUGCGGUGUGGGAAGAAGAAAAGUGUACCGGGGCUGUUGAAAUAGCGGAGGCGCGCGGACGAGCUCUAGUCCGUCCAGUUUGAUGCAGCGGCCGCGGUUGAGGCAGUGGCGAAGGUUGACGGCGGCGGCGGAGACCGGGCGCUGGAGGUGUUGUGAGGAAGAGGACGAAGACGUGGAGGCAAGGGCGGAAAGUGAAAGGGACCCCUGGCCCUAUUUAUAAGGUAGAAGGACAAGUGGCUGUCGCUGUUCUGGGAACGGGGGUCCACAGAUUUACUUGCCUGCGGCCUGUAGCGUGGCUCAAUCGGUGGCCCAGUGCGGCCCAUCUUCAUCAGCCAAACGCUCAAGACCCUCAUGAGGGGCCAAUCCUUGCGGGGCGGACGACACAAGACCCCCUCAGGGGCUACCUCACCAGGCAGGCUUGCGAGGUGCCCAUGACGCAAGCCAUGACGAUAAAGACCAGGCGGGCGCCAAGCAGGCGCCAGGCGGGCGCUAGCCCGCGCAGUGUCCUCGUUUCCUCUUUGGUGCAAAGGGGGCAAGCGUAGGCGCGGAGUACCGAGGCAUCAGGCAAAGGUUUCCAUAUCGAUGCAACGAGACCAAGACCAGCAGGACGUCAGGACGGAGGUCACUAUGGAGCCCAAGAUGGCGUCAUCACCAGCACCUUUGGCAGGCGAAGACCACCUUUAGUCGGGAUAGCUUGUACUACCUAUCCCCUUUCAAAAUGGCCGUUGUUGGAUCCCUUCCCGCUCAAUACUUGGGAAGAGGACCAGGGCCUCUAUAAAUAGGGCUAGCCACCACCAUAGAGAGGACGGAUAGAUUCCUCCUCAAGCACACCACCAACCAUAAGAACACCUCUCCUCGCGAGGCUGUUCUUCCCCUAUACUAUUCAUCAUCAGCCCAAGAGGCAAUCCACCACCACACAUAGGAGUAGGGUAUUACACCACAACGGUGGCCCGAACCUCUAUAAAUCUUAUGUCUCUUGUGUUGUUCAUCAAUCUAGCUUAGAAACCGCGGCGAGGCUGAGGGCGAGAUUUGGUAGGAGGAGAUCUUCAUGCGCACCCCAAAGUUCAAACCUUAAGGGUUUUGCCAGAACCCGAUAUCCGACAUUUGGUACGCCAGGUAGGGGUGCACCGGAAUCUUCCUUCCGUUGAUCUGCGUCCCAUCGCUUUGUCGCAUCCAUGGCAGAUGCUCCCGAGCCCGCGCCGAGCGCCGGGCUGCUCUCGCCGCUCACGUCGCCCAGACGGUUCCUAUCGGCGUGCCUCCUCGUCGUUCUCCAUCGCUUGCCACCAACGCUACCACCAGCCCGGUGGGGAACGAGCAGCAAGCAUCUUCGCUCCACCCCUCGGUGCGGCGGGAAGGCCGCACCGCCACUCCAUCGCUAACCCAACUGGUUCAUUGUCUCACGCUCGUCACGCCCCCACGGACGCGCAAGCUGCAUUGCUCCUGGCACGUGAGCUCCUGCACUACCGCCCCGUCGACGACCUCUACGAAGAAUGGCUCGCUUGCGUCACCGAGCUCGUCAGCGCCGCAGGGGGCUCUCCCGCGCCGUCCCUCUCGCUGCCUCGCCCUCCGUCAGGCAUGGGUGACGCAGCUCAGGGAGCGCCUCCGCCACCUCUCCCCCAAGACGGCACCCUGGCUCCAAGGCGUGCGGCCCCUGGACAUGACCCAUCGCAUCCAGCGCCCGCGCGACAAGAUAGAAGCUGCCAAGAAAUCCCUCGACCUCAAGAAGGUGCUCCCGUGCUUCCUGCACCAGCACGACAAGACUGCGUCCCUGCACCAGCGCGCCAAGGCCCUGCACUGCCCCUCGCGGCGGUACGUAGGUACCAGCAAGAGCAAGCCCUACAUCAGCAAAGGGCUCCGGUGACCACAGCAGGUUGCCGCACCUUCACCACCGAGCUGUGUAGCGUCGCCUGGCCAGGCAAGAUCAAGUCGGACCUGCCUCCUCUCUACGACGGCACUACCGACCCCGCGGAGUUCUUGCAGCUCUAUGAGCUGGCAUCGAGGCGGCCAAUGGAGACGAGAAGGUCAUGGCGAACUGGUUUCCCAUGGCGCUCAAGGACGACACACGCACCUGGCUCCUGAACCUGCCUCCCGGCUCGAUCUCCUCCUUGGACGAGAUGCGCAGCCGCUUCAUCGCCAACUUCUAGGGCACUUGCGACCGCCCCCCGGCCGCGGGUAACCUACGCCGCAUCAAGAAACUGCCUGGGGAGACCCUACAGAAAUACAUCCAGCGCUUCAACAGCGCCCGCCUCAAGAUCCCCAAGGUGACGGACGAGGCCAUCAUCUCAGCGUUCUCUGAUGGCGUCCACGACGUCAAGAUGAAGGAGGAGCUCGCCAUCCACGAGGAGCUGUGCACAUCCCUGGAGCUGUUCAACCUGGCAACCAAGUGUGCAAGAGCUGAGGAAAGACGCCUCUCCCUCCUCUAGCUUCUAGCCACCGACCCAGAAGAGAAGAAGGCCAAGGCCAAGGACGUGAAGUGCAAAGGAACCGCCAUGCUCGCAGCAGAACCAGACACGAAGCGCGGCAGGGACCAGCCGGAGUCGUCAAAGGGCAGCCGACCGUUCUGCGCUUACCACAACCUCCACACCCACAACACCAAUGAAUGCCUAGAGCUCAGGGCCGUUCAAGAAGGACGCUUCGGUCGACGCCCCGAGCGCAACGACCAGGGCUACGGCCGAGGAGGAGGACGUGGCGGAGGACGAUGGGACGAGCGUGGCCCUCGCUAGGAGUGGCAUGACCGACCUCGUGAGGAUCACUGGCAGGACCAGCCUCGCAAGGGCGCCUGGAGGGAUCAGCCUCGUGAAGAUCGCCCACAAGGCAACGCAGGCCUUCCUCCUCUGCCACCGCCGCCAAGAAGGAAUGAUGACCAUCACCAGGACAAGGGGGCUGGGGGCUUCCAGGAACCGUGUUCUAUCGCUUGCAUCUUGGGAGGAGCUCAGGCCCCAGCCUCUCAGCGCAUGUUCAAGCAGUUUGCUCGCGAGGUGAAUGCAGUCCUCCCCAAGCUCGAGGCCAAGCGCCCGCUAAGGUGGUCCAAGUGCACCAUCACCUUCAGCUCAGCAGAUCAGCUCAAGUGUGCGGCUACAGCUGGCGUCCUCCCAAUGCUUUGUUCCCUAGUCAUCAGCAACGUGCAAGUCACCAGGACCCUCAUUGAUGGCGGGCAGGGCUCAACAUCCUGUCCGUCGAGAUGUUCGACAACCUUCAAGUGCCAUAUGAUCAGCUCUAGCCAACCAAGCCUUUCUCAGGUGUCACUGACGGCUCCACCACCCCGAUAGAGCAGGUUCGCCUCCCUGUCACCUUCGGCCAGCGCGACAACUACCGCACCGAGCUCAUCGACUUCGACAUCACCCGCAUCCACCUACCGUACAAUGCCAUCCUCAAGUAUCCAGCCCUAGCCAAGUUCAUGGCGGUGAUGCACCAUGGCUACAACGUCCUCAAGAUGCCAGGAAACGGCAGAAUCAUCACGGUCCCCUGCGAAGAAAGAGAUGCGGUGUGCUCCCUCGAGCGCGCCUUCCAAGCUGCAUCAAUCGAGGACCCAGACAGCAGGGGCAAGAAUCCUCCUGAGGUAGUCCCCAAGAAGAAGAAGACACUGCUCAGCUCAAGGCCUCGUGAGGUUGGCAUCUCAGGAGGUGCUGUGUCAGGAUCACCGCCCGCACAAGGGGCGCCUCCCUCCAUCGCGUAGGAAGGCGUGCCCGCGCCCUCCUCGGGCAGGGCUCUGGGGCUCUCUUCUGGAGGGCCUCAGACUUUGCCAACAUCACAAGGGAGGCGCUCGGGCACGUUUCCCUCAGGAGGUUUUAGGGCGUGGAAGGCCCAACGUUUAGGAGUUCAUCACCAAAACCACUCAGGAGCUUCAGGAAGCAAGAGCCAUGCGCGGCGACCGCCGCUUGCCUAGCGUGGCCCCCAUCCAGGUGAGGAUGGUGGGCUGCGCGUUUGCAUCGACGUCCCAGGGCUCAACCGAGCCGCGUCUUAGGAGGGUCUCUAGCCUUCGCGCGUGGGACGCUGCGAGGGUCCGCCACACAGCUACGUUCGCAUGCCUUUCGGCCUGCCGAACGCGGCUGCCACCUUCUAGCGUCACAUGCAGAGCAUUCUGGCGACCCAGGAGGCCAGGCACCACGUGGUCCUAGCGGAGAUGGAGACGGUCCUCGAGGAGCCACCUAGACCCGCUGAGCCUCCCGAGGCUCAGGGCUUUGGUAGCUCGUGAGGAACGGCCUCUUCACUGCGCGUCUUUAGCUACUCCAACACCCCCUCCACAAUGGAACCAGGUGAUAUCUUUCAAGUUCAUUUCAGCUGGGAGCGCCCUCAGGGCCGCAUCAUUCCCAGGCCUUGUGGGUGUGUGAUACGUCUCCAACGUAUCUAUAAUUUUUGAUUGUUCCAUGCUAUUAUAUUACCAUUUUUGGAUGUUUAUGGGCUUUAUUUUACACAUUUAGAUCAUUUUUGGGACUAACCUACUAACCGGAGGCCCAGCCCAUAUUGCUGGUUUUUUUCCUAUUUCAGUAUUUCGAAGAAAAGGAAUAUCAAACGGAGUCCAAACGAAAUGAAACCUUCGAGAGCGUGAUUUUUGGAACGAACCUGAUCCGGAGAGCUUGGAGUGCAAGUCAAGAAGCUCCCGAGGGCCCCACGAGAUAGGGGACCGCCCCCCUGUCUCGUGGGCCCCUCGGGCGGCCACCGACGUACUUCUUCCUCCUAUAUAUACCUAUGUACCCCGAAAACAUCCAGGGGCACCACGAAACACAACUUCCACUGCCGUAACCUUCUGUAUCCACGAGAUCUCAUCUUGGAGCCUUCGCCGGCACUCUGCCGGAGGGGGAAUCAACCAUGGAGGGCUUCUACAUCAACAUCCUUGCCCCUCCGAUGAGUUGUGAGUAGUUUACCACAGACCUACGGGUCCAUAGUUAUUAUCUAGAUGGCUUCUUCUCUCUUUUUGGAUCUCAAUACAAUGUUCUCCCCCUCUCUUGUGGAGAUCUAUUCGAUGCAAACUCUUUUUGCUGUGUGUUUUUCGAGAUCCGAUGAAUUGUGGGUUUAUGACCAAGUUUGUCUAUGAAUAGUAUUUGAAUCUUCUCUAAAUUCUUUUAUGUGUGAUUGAGUUAUCUUGGCAAGUCUCUUCGAAUUAUCAGUUUGGCUUGGCCUACUAGAUUGGUCUUUCUUGCCAUGGGAGAAGUGCUUAGCUUUGGGUUCAAUCUUGCGGUGUCCUUACCCAGUGACAGAAAGGGUUGCAAGGCACGUAUUUUAUUGUUGCCAUCGAGGAUAACAAGAUGGGUUUAUAUCAUAUUACAUGUGUUUAUCCCUCUACAUCAUGUCAUCUUGCUUAAUGCAUUACUCUGUUCUUAUGAACUUAAUACUCUAGAUGCAGGCAAGAGUCGGUCGAUGUGUGGAGUAAUAGUAGUAGAUGCAGGCAGGAGUCGGUCUACUUGCUAUGGACGUGAUGCCUAUAUACAUGAUCAUGCCGAAAUAAUCUCAUAACUAUGUGCUUUUCUAUCAAUUGCUCGACAGUAAUUUGUUCACCCACCGUAACACUUAUGCUAUCUUGAGAGAAGCCUCUAGUGAAACCUAUGGCCCCCAGGUCUAUCUCCUAUCAUAUUUGCUUUCCAUCUACUUUUAUUUGGAUCUUUACUUUUUGCAUGUAUAUCAUGAAAUACCAAAAAUAUAAUAUCUUAUCAUACUAUCUUUAUUAUAUCUCACUUUUGCAAGUGGCCAUGAAGGGAUUGACAACCCCUUUAUUAUGUUGGUUGCGAGUUCUCAGUUUGUUUGUGUAGGUGCGUGGGACUUUUGAGGAGCCUCCUGCUGGAUUGAUACCUUGGUUCUCAAAACUGAGGGAAAUAGUUACGCUACACUUUCCUGCAUCACCCUCUCCUCUUCGAGGAAAACCAACGCAAGCUCAAGACAUUGCAAGAAGGAUUUCUGGCACCGUUGCCGGGGAGGUCUUCGCUCAAGUCAAGACAUACCAAGUACCCAUCACAAACCCAUUUCCCUCGCAUUUACAUUAUUUGCCAUUUGCCUCACAUUUUCCUCUCCACCACUUCACCCUUGCCAUUUUAUUCGCCCUCUCUUUCCCAAUCUCCUCCUCUCUUUUGCUUGCCUUUUGUUUGCUCGUGUGUUAGUGCGUUUACCUUGUCAUCAUGUCUAGUUCCUUAUCCGCUCCUAUGUCUCCCGAGUUUGAAGUUCUUCACUUCAAGCAAAGGACAGGAUAAAAUUUAAAAGAUGCUUGGUAUAGGAUGAUGGAAUCUUAUCGCAAGUGCAUCCUAGAGGUGAACUUUAGAAUUCUUCUUCGUAAUUUUUAUGUUGGGUUAAAUAUGACGCAUAGACAACUCUUGGAUUGCAUUGCCAAGGGAAAUUUCAUUGAAAUUGAUCCUAGUAUUGCGCAUGAAAUUAUAGAGUAUGAAGGGAAGUGGAAAGAACCUCCCGGAUUCGAGCAUGACUCCACUAAAAAACUGAAAAUACAAGAUGGCACUCGUUAGAUCUAUCUUUGCUUUUAUGCCUAGCUAGGGGCGUUAAACGAUAGCGCUAGUUGGGAGGCAACCCAAUUUUUCUUUGCGUUUUUUGUUCUUGCUCCUGUUUAGUAAUAAAUCUUGCAUCUACCUACUGUUUAGAUGUGUUUUAAUCUUUUAAUUAGUGUUUGUGCCAAGUAGAACCUAUAGGAUAACCUACGAUGAUAGUUGAUUUGAUUCUGCUGAAAAACAGAAACUUUGCACGGACGAAUAUAAUUUUGUUAAAUCACAGGAAUGUGAUUUUGCAUUGAUUCUUUUUGAUUAUGUUCAAUAAACAAAUUUUCCAGGACUUCCUAUUUGGGUAGGAUAUUUGGAGGUCCAGAAGUUUGCGUUAGUUACAGAUUGCUACAGACUGUUCUGUUUUUGACAGAUUCUGUUUUUCGUGUGUUGUUUGCUUAUUUCAAUGCAUCUAUGGCUAGUAAUUUAGUCUAUGAACCAUAAAGAAGUUGGAAUACAGUAGGUUUAACACCAAAUUAAAUAAAUAAUGAGUUCAUUGCAGUACCUUAUGUGGUGGUUUUGUUUUCUUUCACUAACAGAGCUUAUAAGAUUUCCUGUUGAGUUUUGUGUUAUGAAGUUUUCAAGUUUUGGGUAAAGCUUUUAUGGACUAUGGAAUAAGGAGUGGCAAGAGACUAAGCUUGGGGAUGCCCAUGGCACCCCAAGAUAUUCAAGAAUAGCCAAAAGCCUAAGCUUGGGGAUGCCCCGAGAAGGCAUCCCCUCUUUCGUCUUUGUUCAUUGGUAACUUUACUUGGAGCUAUAUUUUUAUUCGCCACAUGAUAUGUGUUUUGCUUAGAGCGUUGUAUAUUAUAUUAGUCUUUGCUUUUUAGUUUACCACAAUCAUCCUUGCUGUACACACCUUUUGGGAGAAGCCUAUUUGAUUAGAAUUUGCUAGAAUACUCUAUGUGCUUCACUUAUAUCAUUUGAGCUUGAUAGUUUUUGCUCUAGUGCUUCACUUAUAUUUUUUAGAGCACGGUGGUGUAUUAAUUUUGAAGAAAUUGCUAGUAUCUCAUGCUUCACUUAUAUCUUUUUGAGAGUCUUUUAGAACAGCAUGGUAUUUGCUAUGGUCAUAAAGUUGGUCCUAGAAUGAUGAGCAUCCAAGUUGGGUAUAACAAAAACUAUCAUAGAAAAGAGAAUUGGAUGCUAUGAUCAACUUGAUACUUGAUAAUUGUUUUGAGAUAUGGAGGUAGUGAUAUUAAAGUCAUGCUAGUUGGGUGAUUAUGACAUCAAAGAAUGCUUGUGUUGAAGUUAGCAAGUCCUGUAGCAUGCACGUAUGGUUAAAGUCGUGUAACAAAUUUGAAACAUAAAGUGUACUUGGCUUGUGCAUCCUUAUGUGUGGCGGUCAGGGACGAGCGAUGGUCUUUUCCUACCAAUCUAUCCCCCUAGGAGCAUGCGCGUAGUGCUUGAUUUUUGAUGAUUUCUAAAUUCUUGCAAUAGGUAUAUGAGUUCUUUUGACUAAUGUUGAGUCCAUGGAUUAUACGCACUUCUACCUUUCCACCUUUGCUCUACCUUUCCACCUUUGCUAGCCUCUUCGGUACCGUGCAUUGCCCUUUCUCACCUUGAGAGUUGGUGCAAACUUCGCUGGUGCAUCCAAACCCCGUGAUAUGAUACGCUCUAUCACACAUAAACCUCCUUAUAUCUUCCUUAAAACAGCCACCAUACCUAUCUAUUAUGGCAUUUCCAUAGCCAUUCUGAGAUAUAUUGCCAUGCAACUUUCCACCGUUCCGUUCAUCAUUUUCAUGACAUACUUUACUUUUGUCAUAUUGCCAUUGCAUGAUCAUGUAGUUGACAUCGUAUUUGUGGCAAAGCCACCAAGCAUUAUUUUUAAUACGUGUCACUCUUGAUUCAUUGCACCAUCCCGGAACACCGCCGGAGGCAUUCAUAUAGAGUCAUAUCUUGUUCUAAGUUUCGAGUUGUAAUUUUUAUGUUGCAAUCAAUAGAAGUGUGAUGAUCAUCAUUAUUAGAGCAUUGCCCAAAAAAAGAAAAAAAAGAAGAAAGGCCAAAAAAAAAGAAAGGCCCAAAAAAUAAAAUAAAAUAAAAGAGAAAAAAGGGGAAAAAGAAAAAAAAGAAAAUAAAUAAAAAGGGCAAUGUUACUAUCUCUUUUUCCACACUUGUGCUUCAAAGUAGCACCUUGUUCUUCACGUAGUGAGUCUCAUAUAUUGUGCUUCAAAGUAGCACCACGUUUUUCAUAUAGUGGGUCUCCUAAGUUGUCUUUUUCAUACUAGUGGGAAUUUUUCAUUAUAGAACUUGGCUUGUAUAUUCCUACAAUGGGCUUCCUCAAAUGUCCUAGGUCUUCGUGAGCAAGCAAGUUGGAUGCACACCCACUAGUUUUAUUUUGUUGAGCAUUGUUCUAUAGCUCUAGUGCAUCCGUUGCAUGGCAAUCCCUACUCCUCAUGUUGACAUCAAUUGAUGGGCAUCUCCAUAGCCCGUUGAUUAUCGUCGUCAAUGUGAGACUUUCUCCUUUUUGUCUUCUCCACACAAUCCCCAUCAUCAUAUUCUAUUCCACCCAUAGUGCUAUAUCCACGGCUCAUGCUCAUGUAUUGCGUGAAGGUUGAAAAAGUUUGAGAUUAUUUAAGUAUGAAACAAUUGCUUGGCUUGUCAUCGGGGGUAUAGAAGUUGGGAACAUCUUUGUGUGACGAAAAUGAAGCAUAGCCUAACUAUAUGAUUUUGUAGGGAUGAACUUUCUUUUGCCAUGUUAUUUUGAGAAGACAUGAUUACUUUGAUUAGUAUGCUUGAAGUGUUACUAUUUCCUAUGUCAAUAUGAACUUUUAUUUUGAAUCAUUUGGAUCUGAACAUUCAUGCCACAAUAAUGAAAAUUACAUUAUGAAUUAUGCUAGGUAGCAUUCCACAUCAAAAAUUCUCUUUUUAUCAUUUACCUACUCGAGGACAAGCUGGAAUUAAGCUUAGGGAUGCUUGAUACAUCGCCAACUUAUCUAUAAUUUUUGAUUAUUCCAUGCUAUUAUAUUACCCCUUUUGGAUGUUUAUGGGCUUUAUUUUACACAUUUAGAUCAUUUUUGGGACUAACCUACUAACCGGAGGCCCAGCCCAUAUUGCUGGUUUUUUUCCUAUUUCAGUAUUUCGAAGAAAAGGAAUAUCAAACGGAGUCCAAACGAAAUGAAACCUUCGAGAGCGUGAUUUUUGGAACGAACCUAAUCCGGAGAGCUUGGAGUGCAAGUCAAGAAGCUCCCGAGGGCCCCACGAGAUAGGGGGGCGCCCCCCCCCCUGUAGGGAGCGCCCCCCUGUCUUGUGGGCCCCUCGGGUGGCCAUCGACGUACUUCUUCCUCCUAUAUAUACCUACCUACCCCGAAAACAUUCGGGGGCACCACGAAACACAAUUUCCACCAGCGUAACCUUCUGUAUCCGUGAGAUCUCAUCUUGGAGCCUUCACCGGCACUCUGUCGGAGGGGGAAUCAAGCACGGAGGGCUUCUACAUCAACAUCCUUGCCCCUCCGAUGAGUUGUGAGUAGUUUACCACAGACCUACGGGUCCAUAAUUAUUAGCUAGAUGGCUUCUUCUCUCUUUUUGGAUCUCAAUACAAUGUUAUCCCCCUCUCUUGUGAGAUCUAUUCGAUGUAAACUCUUUUUGCGGUGUCUUUGUCGAGAUCCGAUGAAUUGUGGGUUUAUGAUCAAGUUUAUCUAUGAAUAAUAUUUGAAUCUUCUCUGAAUUCUUUUAUGUAUGAUUGAGUUAUCUUUGCAAGUCUCUUUGAAUUAUCAGUUUGGUUUGUCCUACUAGAUUGGUCUUUCUUGCCAUGGGAGAAGUGCUUAGCUUUGGGUUCAAUCUUGCGGUGUCCCUACCCACUGACAGAAAGGGUUGCAAGGCACGUAUUGUAUUGUUGCCAUCGAGGAUAACAAGAUGGGUUUAUAUGAUAUUGCAUGUGUUUAUCCCUAUACAUCAUGUCAUCUUGCUUAAUGUGUUACUCUGUUCUUAUGAACUUAAUACUCUAGAUGCAGGCAGGAGUCGGUCGAUGUGUGGAGUAAUAGUAGUAGAUGCUGGCAGGAGUCGGUCUACUUGUUAUGGACGUGAUGCCUAUAUACAUGAUCAUGCCGAAAUAAUCUCAUAACUAUGUGCUUUUCUAUCAAUUGCUCGACAGUAAUUUGUUCACCCACCGUAAUACUUAUGCUAUCUUGAGAGAAGCCUCUAGUGAAACCUAUGGGCCCCGGGUCUAUCUCCUAUCACAUUUUGUUUCCAUCUACUUUUAUUUGCAUCUUUACUUUUUGCAGCUAUAUCAUAAAAUACCAAAAAUAUAUUUAUCUUAUCAUACUAUCUUUAUUAGAUCUCACUUUCGCAAGUGGCCAUGAAGGGAUUGACAACCCCUUUAUUAUGUUGGUUGCGAGUUCUCAGUUUGUUUGUGUAGGUGUGUGGGACUUUUGAGGAGCCUCUUACUGGAUUGAUACCUUGGUUCUCAAAACUGAGGGAAAUACUUACGCUACACUUUGCUGCAUCACCCUCUCCUCUUCGAGGAAAACAAACGCAAGAUCAAGACGUAGCAAGAAGGACUUCUGGCGCCGUCGCCGGGGAGGUCUUCGCUCAAGUCAAGACAUACCAAGUACCCAUCACAAACCCAUCUCCCUCGCAUUUACAUUAUUUGCCAUUUGCCUCUCGUUUUCCUCUCCCCCACUUCACCCUUGCUGUUUUAUUCGCCCUCUCUUUCCCAAUCUCCUCCUCUCUUUUGCUUGCCUUUUGUUUGCUCGUGUGUUAGUGCGUUUACCUUGUCAUCAUGUCUAGUUCCUUAUCCGCUCCUAUGUCUCCCGAGUUUGAAGUUCUUCACUUCAAGCAAAGGGAAGUAGAAAAUUUAAAAGAUGCUUGGUAUAGGAUGAUGGAAUCUUAUCGCAAGUGCACCCUAGAGGUGAACUUUAGAAUUCUUCUUCGUAAUUUUUAUGUUGGGUUAAAUAUGACGCAUAGACAACUCUUGGAUUGCAUUGCCAAGGGAAAUUUCAUUGAAAUUGAUCCCAGUAUUGCGCAUGAAAUUAUAGAGUAUGAAGGGAAGCGGAAAGAACCUCCCGGAUUCGAGCAUGACUCCACUAAAAAACUGAAAAUACAAGAUGGCACUCGUUAGAUCUAUCUUUUCUUUUAUGCCUAGCUAGGGGCGUUAAACGAUAGCGCUAGUUGGGAGGCAACCCAAUUUUUCUUUGUGUUUUUUGUUCUUGCUCCUGUUAGUUAAUAAAUCUUGCAUCUACCUACUGUUUAGAUGUGUUUUUAUCUUUUAAUUGGUGUUUGUGCCAAGUAGAACCUAUAGGAUAACCUACGAUGAUAGUUGAUUUGAUUCUGCUGAAAACAGAAACUUUGCGCGCACGAAUAUAAUUUUGUUAAAUCACAGGAACGUGAUUUUGGGUUGAUUCUUUUUUAUUAUGUUCAAUAAACAAAUUGUCCAGGACUUCCUAUUUGGGUAGGAUAUUUUGAGUUCCAGAAGUUUGCGUUAGUUACAGAUUGCUACAGACUGUUCUGUUUUUGACAGAUUCUGUUUUUCGUGUGUUGUUUUCUUAUUUCAAUGCAUCUAUGGCUAGUAAUUUAGUCUAUGAACCGUAAAGAAGUUGGAAUACAGUAGGUUUAACACCAAAUUAAAUAAAUAAUGAGUUCAUUGCAGUACCUUAUGUGGUGGUUUUGUUUUCUUUCACUAACAGAGCUUAUAAGAUUUCCUGUUGAGUUUUGUGUUGUGAAGUUUUCAAGUUUUGGGUAAAGCUUUUAUGGACUAUGGAAUAAGGAGUGGCAAGAGCCUAAGCUUGGGGAUGCCCAUGGCACCCCAAGAUAUUCAAGAAUAGCCAAAAGCCUAAGCUUGGGGAUGCCCCGGGAAGGCAUCCCCUCUUUCGUCUUCGUUCAUUUGUAACUUUACUUGGAGCUAUAUUUUUAUUCGCCACAUGAUAUGUGUUUUGCUUGGAGCGUCGUGUAUUAUAUUAGUCUUUGCUUUUUAGUUUACCACAAUCAUCCUUGCUGUACACACCUUUUGGAAGAAGCCUAUUUGAUUAGAAUUUGCUAGAAUACUCUAUGUGCUUCACUGAUAUCUUUUGAGCUUGUAGUUUUUGCUCUAGUGCUUCACUUAUAUUUUUUAGAGCACGGUGGUGUCUUAAUUUUGAAGAAAUUGCUAGUCUCUCAUGAUUCACUUAUAUCUUUUUGAGAGUCUUUUAGAACAGCAUGGUAUUUGCUAUGGUCAUAAAGUUGGUCCUAGAAUGAUGAGCAUCCAAGUUGGGUAUAAUAAAAACUAUCAUAGAAAAGAGAAUUGGAUGCUAUGAUCAACUUGAUACUUGAUAAUUGUUUUGAGAUAUGGAGGUAGUGAUAUUAAAGUCAUGCUAGUUGGGUGAUUAUGAAUUCAAAGAAUGCUUGUGUUGAAGUUAGCAAGUCACGUAGCAUGCAUGUAUGGUUAAAGUUGUGUAACAAAUUUGAAACAUGAAGUGUACUUGGCUUGUGCAUCCUUAUGAGUGGCGGUCGGGGAUGAGCGAUGGUCUUUUCCUACCAAUCUAUCCCCCUAGGAGCAUGCGCGUAGUGCUUGAUUUUUGAUGACUUCUAAACUUUUGCAAUAAGUAUAUGAGUUCUUUUCACUAAUGUUGAGUCCAUGGAUUAUACGCACUUCUACCUUUCCACCUUUGCUAGCCUCUUCGGUACCGUGCAUUGCCCUUUCUCACCUUGAGAGUUGGUGUAAACUUCGCCGGUGCAUCCAAACCCCGUGAUACGAUACGCUCUAUCACACAUAAACCUCCUUAUAUAUUCCUCAAAACAGCCACCAUACCUACCUAUUAUGGCAUUUCCAUAGCCAUUCCGAGAUAUAUUGCCAUGCAACUUUCUGCCGUUCCAUUCAUCAUUUUCAUGACGUACUUUACUUUUGUCAUAUUGCCAUUGCAUGAUCAUGUAGUUGACAUCGUAUUUGUGGCAAAGCCACCAAGCAUUAUUUUUGAUACAUGUCACUCUUGAUUCAUUGCACCAUCCCGUUACACCGCCGGAGGCAUUCAUAUAGAGUCAUAUCUUGUUCUAAGUUUCGAGUUGUAAUUUUUAUGUUGUAAUCAAUAGAAGUGUGAUGAUCAUCAUUAUUAGAGAAUUGCCCAAAAAAGAAGAAAAAAAGAAGAAAGGCCAAAUGAAAAAAAGAAAGGCCCAAAAAAUAAAAGAAAAAAAUAAAAAAAGGAGAAAAGGAAAAAAAAGAAAAUAAAUAAAAAGGGCAAUGUUACUAUCUCUUUUUCCACACUUGUGCUUCAAAGUAGCACCUUGUUCUUCAUGUAGUGAGUCUCAUAUAUUGUGCUUCAAAGUAGCACCACGUUUUUCAUAUAGUGGGUCUCCUAAGUUGUCUUUUUCAUACUAGUGGGAAUUUUUCAUUAUAGAACUUGGCUAGUAUAUUCCUACAAUGGGCUUCCUCAAAUGCCCUAGGUCUUCGUGAGCAAGCAAGUUGGAUGCACACCCACUAGUUUUAUUUUGUUGAGCAUUGUUUUAUAGCUCUAGUGCAUCCGUUGCAUGGCAAUCCCUACUCCUCGUGUUGACAUAAAUUGAUGGGCAUCUCCAUAGCCCGUUGAUUAUCCUCGUCAAUGUGAGACUUUCUCCUUUUUGUCUUCUCCACACAAUCCCCAUCAUCAUAUUCUAUUUCACCCAUAGUGCUAUAUCCAUGGCUCAUGCUCAUGUAUUGCAUGAAGGUUGAAAAAUUUUGAGAUCAUUUAAGUAUGAAACAAUUGCUUGGCUUGUCAUCGGGGGUAUAGAAGUUGGGAACAUCUUUCUGUGACGAAAAUGAAGCACAGCCUAACUAUAUGAUUUUGUAGGGAUGAACUUUCUUUUGCCAUGUUAUUUUGAGAAGACAUGAUUACUUUGAUUAGUAUGCUUGAAGUGUUACUAUUUUCUAUGUCAAUAUGAACUUUUAUUUUGAAUCAUUUGGAUCUGAACAUUCAUGCCACAAUAAAGAAAAUUACAUUAUGAAUUAUGCUAGGUAGCAUUCCACAUCAAAAAUUCUCUUUUUAUCAUUUACCUACUCGAGGACGAGCAGGAAUUAAUCUUGGGGAUGCUUGAUACGUCUCCAACGUAUCUAUAAUUUUUGAUUGUUCCAUGCUAUUAUAUUACCCCUUUUGGAUGUUUAUGGGCUUUAUUUAACACAUUUAUAUCAUUUUUGGGACUAACCUACUAACCGGAGGCCCAGCCCAUAUUGCUGGUUUUUUUUGCCUAUUUCAGUAUUUCGAAGAAAAAGGAAUAUCAAACGGAGUCCAAACGGAAUGAAACCUUCGGGAGCGUGAUUUUUGGAAUGAACCUGAUCCGGAGAGCUUGGAGUGCAAGUCAAGAAGCUCCCAAGGGCCCCGCAAGAUAGGGGGCCGCCCCCCUGUAGGGCGCGCCUCCCUUCUCGUGGGCCCCUCAGGCUGCCACCGACAUACUUCUUCCUCCUAUAUAUACCUACGUACCCCGAAAACAUCCGGGGGCACCACGUAACACAACUUCCACCGCCGUAACCUUCUGUAUCCACGAGAUCUCAUCUUGGAGCCUUCGCUGGCACUCUGCCGAAGGGGGGAUCAACCACAGAGGGCUUCUACAUUAACAUCAUUGCCCCUCCGAUGAGUUGUGAGUAGUUUACCACAGACCUACGGGUCCAUAGUUAUUAGCUAGAUGGCUUCUUCUCUCUUUUUGGAUCUCCAUACAAUGUUCUCCCCCUCUCUUGUGGAGAUCUAUUUGAUGUAAACUCUUUUUGCUAUGUGUUUGUCGAGAUCCGAUGAAUUGUGGGUUUAUGAUCAAGUUUAUCUAAGAAUAAUAUUUAAAUCUUCUCUAAAUUCUUUUAUGUAUGAUUGAGUUAUCUUUGCAAGUCUCUUCGAAUUAUCGGUUUGGUUUGGCCUACUAGAUUGGUCUUUCUUGCCAUGGGAGAAGUGCUUAGCUUUGGGUUCAAUCUUGCGGUGUCCUUACCCAGUGACAGAAAGGGUUGCAAGGCAUGUAUUGUAUUGUUGCCAUCGAGGAUAACAAGAUGUGGUUUAUAUCAUAUUGCAUGUGUUUAUCCCUCUACAUCAUGUCAUCUGGCUUAAUGCGUUACUCUAUUCUUAUGAACUUAAUACUCUAGAUGCAGGCAUGAGUCGGUCGAUGUGUGGAGUAAUAGUAGUAGAUGCAGGCAGGAGUCGGUCUACUUGUUAUGGAUGUGAUGCCUAUAUACAUGAUCAUGCCUAGAUAAUCUCAUAACUAUGCGCUUUUCUAUCAAUUGCUCGACAGUAAUUUGGUCACCCACCGUAUUACUUAUCCUAUCUUGAGAGAAGCCUCUAGUGAAACCUAUGGCCCCCGGGUCUAUCUCCUAUCAUAUUUGCUUUCCAUCUACUUUUAUUUGCAUCUUUACUUUUUGCAUCUAUAUCAUAAAAUACCAAAAUAUAUUUAUCUUAUCAUACUAUCUUUAUUAGAUAUCACUUUUGCAAGUGGCCGUGAAGGGAUUGACAACCCCAUUAUUGCGUUGGUUGCGAGUUCUCAGUUUGUUUGUGUAGGUGCGUGGGACUUUUGAGGAGCCUCCUACUGGAUUGACACUUUGGUUCUCAAAACUGAGGGAAUACUUACGCUACACUUUGCUGCAUCACCCUCUCCUCUUCGAGGAAAACCAAUGCAAGCUCAAGACAUAGCAGUGCGCCCAUGCAGCAUGUAUCCCUUUUGCUUAUGUCUUUAGUUUACCUUGCUGGGGGCGCCCCUCGGGUUGCAUCAUCCCCAAGCCGCUCCGGCCUGACCCGGUGGCGUGUAUCCAUUCUGCGUUUAUCUAAGCUGAUUUGCCUUUCAUGCCUAACCCGCCUGUGAUUAUCGCUUGUUCGAUUAACACCUACCACUGGAGCUGCUCAUGCUGGCACGGUGCUUGCGCAUGGGUCCAUCCCUGCAACAUCGACAAAUCUGAGUGGUCGAGCUCUGGCCCGCGGUAGCACUGCAAGCGUCACCUCACCAGGCCCUCAGUGCCCUCACCUCUUUCUCGGAGCAACCAAUGGCCAGUCGGCAAUCGUAAUGGCAACCGUGCUUUCCCCGUGCUGAUUUACAGGAACCUCCUGAGGUCUACAGAGGGUGGCACCACGAGCUCUCUCUCUCUCUCUCAUGUGAUCCGCUUGCGAGUUAAAAGGGGGGCUCCUGAGCAUCACGACUCAGGAGCUCUUACUGGCUCUCCAGCCCUCACCCCCUGGCCUUGACCACGGCAUCACGACCUGGCAUACCAGCGGCGGCUGAGCUCACUCGAGGGCCGGGACCUGAGGACGUAGAGCACGAAGGAGAGUGUGGGGGAGAAAGGGAAAGCUCGCGAAGGCCUAACCCAGCUACGUCCUAGAUGCCAAUGCACAAGUGUGGUGCAGCGCGAAGGAGCGACUCCAUAUUAUCAAGACAAGUUUCACACCAGGAACAGCUAAUCAUCGCGAUACGAAAUCUUCACUUGAUGCGGCUCUGUGACGGCAAUGUUGCCUUCCUUUCUCACCUCUCGGCAGCUGCUUGCACGCUAAAGGGGACCUCCUGAGCAUCGCGCCUUAGGGGCUCUUGCUGGACUCGGGCCGCUCACCUCCAGGCCUUGACCAUGGCAUCGCCACCUGGCAUACCAGUGACGGCUGAAGCCUUCCUGGGGACAGGGACCUGUCAGCAUAGAGCACCAAGUCGUCGUGAGGUUAGAAAGGGGGAACCAAGCCGGAACAGGACAAGCAUUCACGCAAUUUCAUAAUAAGGAUCACAUCAGCAAAAUACAUCGCGGAUCCUUUACAUGCCCCCAUGGGGUGUCUUUUUCUGAUUCCUUGCAGGGAACAAAAGAUGAGAAUCCUAAGGAGCCCUAACUACCCCGCCUCCAUGGCCGACGCCAUCAUCAACAAUGGGCCACGAGAGGCCGGCGCCAACCCAAUCCAGAUAAGCUGCGACGACGGCCUGGUGCAACCGCCUUGCUCUGAGCACGGCGCGAGCUCGGGGGCACGUAGCUGUCGUCGCUCGUCUACGGAGUCACGAAGAGCUCGGGAGAGUUGCUGGAUUCCCAAGCAUCGCUGCUGCUGCCAGAGGUGCCGUUGGGGGAGCGAACGGCGGGCCUGGCCCCUGCCAUGUCGAUGUCCCGACUACCUCCUCUCGGGCAGCACUCCAGGCGGCGGCCUUCUGCGUCGAAGACUUUGAAGGACAAUAAGGAGGCGCCAUCGUAUUGAAAAUGAAUCACGAGGGCGCCCUCCGUUCGGCAGACCCAGGCAACCUCGCCCCAGCCUCGGGUCAUGAAGACUUUGCCCGGGGCAACGACUUCAACCUCCGCUCCGGUCGCCGGAGCACCACAGUCGGCAUGAUGCAGCCAAAGCUCGAGAGGCCCCCUCGGCGGCAUCUCGGUGGCGAAGAACAAAGGUAAGUGGAUCCAAGUGCUAGGAGGCAUCUCCAUGUGCAGCACGAGCUCGCGGGAGGAGUCUGCGGCCUGGACUCCAGGAGCAACGGCGCGCGCUGCCACAGCUCGUCGACCGCGCCUGCGGCAUGGGGCGGCAUCGCUCGCCAUCCCUUUCUCCAGGGCCCGCGUCCUAGGCAUACAGGGGUAGUGUAAACCCAGGAGAUGGCUGCUCACACCAAGGCCUCAUCAUCUCCAGCCUUGCUACCUCGUCGCGGUGACGUGGGACCGGCCGUUUCUUCGGCGGGAGCGGGUCGGGUCCCUCCCAGGGGGCCUUCCCUUUCUCUUCGCUGAGAACCUGCGGAUCGGUGCGAUUGGCGUCGAGGAUGGAGAUGGAGCAAGGAAGAAGGAGUAGUUGGAGCAAGAAGAGAUGCACAACGGGGGCUCUCGCCCCUCCCUAUUUAUAGUCCCUAGGAGGCCAACUGUCGACCUCCAUGAUCACAGGUAAUGAUGUCUCUUUUUGCAUGCAGCAAGGACACAUCAAAUCGGGCAGUUGCCGAGGCAGCGGGGGGAACCGGAGACGCCCACAUCCAAUCAGUCGCCACGUGGCAACCACGGCCGCAGGCUAUUGGGGCCCGCGGCGCUCCGCACUUGCUCUUUGGCUUCGCUGCUAAGCCAAGUCCGAGCGCGCCUUGGGCCGGAGGGCUACUGUCGGCGUUCUGGGAAUGGGGGUCACCAAACUUGCCUGCCUACGGCCUGCAGCGUGGCUCAAUCGAUGGCCCAGCAUGGCCCGUCUCCAUCAUCCAAACGCUCAAGACCCUCGCGAGGGGCCAAGCCUCGCGGGGCGGACGACACAAGACCCCCUCAGGGGCUGGCUCACCAGGCAGGCUCGCGAAGAGGCGAAGAGAUCAAGGCGAGCGGUACCUCACGAGGUGCCCAUGACGCAAGCCAUGACGAUCAAGACCAGGCGGGCGCCAGCCCGCGCAGUGUCCUCGUUUCCUCUUUGGUGCAAAGGGGGCAAGCGCAGGCGCGGAGUACCGAGGCAUCGGGCAAAGGUUUCCAUAGCGGUGCAACAAGACCAAGACCAGCAGAACGACAUGACGGAGGUCACUAUGGAGCCCAAGACGGCGUCAUCACCAGCACCUUUGGCAGGCGAAGACCACCUUUAGUCAGGAUAGCUUGUACUAGAUGUCCCCUUUCAAAAUGUCCGCUGUUGGAUCCCUUCCCGCUCAAUAUUUGGGAAGAGGACCAGGGCCUCUAUAAAUAGGGCUAGCCACCACCAUAGAGAGGACGGAUAGAUUCCUCCUCAAGCACACCACCAACCACAAGAACACCUUUCCUGGCGAGGCUGUUCUUCCCCUGUACUGUUCAUCAUCAGCCCAAGAGGCAAUCCACCACCACACACAGGAGUAGGGUAUUACACCACAACUGUGGCCCGAACCUGUAUAAAUCUUGUGUCUCUUGUGUUGUUCAUCGAUCUAGCUUAGAAACCAUGGCGAGCCUGAGGGCGAGAUUCGGUAGGAGGAGAUCUUCGUGUGCACCCCAGAGUUCGAACCUUAAGGGUUUUGCCGGAACCCGAGAUUUGACAAUGGCAUGCGCGGGGAUCGAGGAGGCUGAAAAAUGGAUAUGUGACAGCACAGACGCCUCGAUUUUCGAAUAUUCAUUAAAAGCGAAGGCAUAUUAAGAUUUGUACUUUGUGUGAUAUUAAUGUGAUAUGACGUCAUGGCGGCUUACCGCAAUUCUAUGAGUUGACGUCAUGAUGGGUUAUAAGAUCCCGCAAGGACAUAUGAGGAAAGAUUUUUUUUCUAAGUGUUGACGAUUGAUAUGAACAAGUUCACAUCAACCUGGGGCCUAAUGUCGGGGAUAUAACUAUUGGGUAUGACCCGCCCAGGAGGGGCCGGGUCAUAUCACCGGCGGUUCAUAAUGAGAAGGCCCAUGAAGGUGUUGAAGAUGGCAGUUCUUGAAGCUAGCUUACUGAAGGCCCAAGACCCAGAGCAGGCUUGAGGCCCACGGGCUUAAGCCGCCAUAUGUUAACUUGUAUGUUAAGGAAAGUGUAAUUCCGUCACCGAGGCGGACACGUUGUGUAUGAGCCGGCUGGGACUCUGUAAGCCACCGGGCAUCAGCCUGUGUAUAAAAAGGGGUGACCCGACAGCGGUUUAUGGCAAGAGACAACAAGUCGAGAACUAGGUCAAGCGUAUUCGCUCCCUGGCAAUCGAAACCCAAGCAAUGCAACCUAAGAAGGAGUUGGCCUUUACGUAGUUGUUAGGAGCCGAACCUGGGUAAACUCGAUGUGUCCAUUGUCCCGUUUUAACCCCUUCAAGCUAACCUCGUAGCUAUGGCUCCACACCUAAGUCCUCAUGCUAGGGCAUCUACCGUGACAAUUCCAAGACACUACCCCUCCCUCGCUUGAAACCAUUGGUAGGUCGCGUCAUUGCCGCUGCCGUCGCUUCCAUCGACAACCUCUGCAUGUGUGCUGGGAGCUCGAGGAGCCAAUGGCCCACAAGAGGUUUAUUGUAGCCUCUUUGCCCGACAUCGGGCGAGGUGACUGCCGAGGUGUCCCCGUCAUCCUCCGCGGGCUCUUUAUGGAGCCUCUGUCGCCGGUUGCCCGAUCCGCCCGCCGCCGAGCCCCUCCACCCGUUUGUGGACUUCCUCGUCCUCCCUCAGGCCCGGCCACCGAUGUGGUCCUACCUCGGGGCCCGGCAGCGGUGGUAGGGGAUGUGGGUGGCCUUGAUUACAGAUCAGGAGACCCACACCCGCCGGUGUCUCGGUAGCUUCCACACGUCCAAGCUCGCGACUAUGGAGUACGGCCAUUGGCAGGUCCGCUACCACGGCGCGGCGGCUAGGCUCAAUUUUCCCUUCGGCACACGUCCGGUCGACCUUGUCCCAUCGGAACCAGAGGUGGUGAGCUUGGCUAUAGCGCGGGAGGACCGCGAGGCGAGGGAGCGCCUCGAGGCCGAGGCCGCCGACGAGGCCUACAUGCAAGAGCUCCGCUGUUAACACCCGGAGCUCGUGGAGGUGGAGCGGAUGAUCUUUUCCAGCAUGGAGGUUGGCAAUGUGAUCGUGCUCUCCUCCGAUGAUGAGGUCAAAGACGACAAGGACGGCAAAACGAAGGGCGUCAAGGUGGGCGGCGAGGACGAGGAGAUCGACAUCAACGAGUGGAGGAGUGUUUUCCCCAAUGAACCUGAUGACAGCACAGGCCCGGACCCGGCUCGUGGCACACCGUACCUGAUGUGGAAGGAUUGGCUCGACCUCCCAUUCGACAGAAAGUAGUUUAGUUUAGUUUAAAUUUAUGUUUUAUGUUCGGUUAUGCAAAACUAUCAAUGUUUAGGUUUUAAUGCAUGCUACUUUCGGUUGAACUUGCUUUGAACUUGGUCAAAUUGAAGUUUACAACAUUAAGUUAGGGGGAUCGACUAGAAACGGCCAAAAAUUGCUGGAGUAUAUAUAUACUCCACUAAGGGUUUUACUCCGUUAACUUUUAGGGGAUUGUCUAGAGAUGGCCUUAUGCCAUGUUUAUUUCAGUUAUUGACAAUGUGAUGCUGUAUAUAUGCAACUAUUUACUGUGCAGUUCAAUUUCAUCAAUAACAGUUUAACAAUACCACUAUGAAUUAAGAUAUUUGGUUGUUGUUAAAGAUGUUGCAGUUAACACGCCUUUCCAUUUUUUAACAAUAACUAGUGUACUUUAGACCUGCACACUGAAGCUAUCAUUUGUAGAUUAGGUUGUCUACCAUGGAUAUAUUUGGUUGAUGUUUAGCCUGUUGUGCUUAACAUGCCUUUAGAUGUACUCACACGGGACAAUAUUGGGAACAGUUGAUGUUUUCCAUUGAGGUUAGUUUCAUCCCAUUGCUUAUAUAUACUCACUAUUUAGGAUAUCGGUAGGUGGUACCAUAUAGCCCGGGGGCUGAUGAGGGAUUAAUCAUCGAAUCGGACAUUUCACUAAAUAUAUUUGUAACCCAUUUAUCGAUAGGUGAACUAGGGCCAUAUUUAAUAUAUCUAAGGCUAUAGCAACAUGCGUUGUACUGAAUGACUAAAAUGUAAUCCCAGGCUACAUAGGAAGAAGGAAGAGUGGUACAUUUAAGUUCUGACGAUGUGUAGAUAUACAUGUAAUAAGAUCUUAUAUAAUGGGACGACGGGAGUGUUGUACUACAUCAUUGUGCAAUUGUUGUUUAGCUUCUAAUAUUUACUUGGUGCUUUUAGGUACAUAUGUCAUUGCCAAAGAUCCACGCUUCAACCCUUUCUGCGUAUGGGGCAACGAGAUAUUCAUGAACCAACAUCAAGUGAGGAAAUCGAUAAAGAUUAUUAUUAAAAUGGGUCAAAAGAUGUCAACCGAACUAUUUGUUUACACUUUAUGCAAGACAACAAUGAACUGUAGGAUGGUAAGUAAGAACUCUGUAGCCUUGUUUUUACCGCCCAUAAUGAAUUGUGUUAGAUGACAAUGUCUGGAUUUUUUUUUCCUCUGAAGUGGUUCCCGAAGCAUAUUACUCAAGAUUACCUCUCAACCUACAUGAUUGGCGACCGACCAUCACAUGGGGUUGGACUACAUUCGUGCUUGCCUUCUGCAUGGAGGAGAGAACAAUAGGGGCAUUCCGCUUCACCUUGUUUAGCAGCCAGCAUGUUUCUCGCCUCUUUCUUUACCAUCUUUAAUAGUACAAGUAUAAAACCCUGGUUCAUCCUUCUUUAUUUGGUGCUUAUGUAAUUCUUUUUUGAUGUAAUUCUUGAACAUAUAUGUACCUGUGAAUGGAAUAAUGCAUUGGUUGUUGAACCUGAUGGAUAUGAAUGAAGUUAUAGCCUAAUUUCAAAUUGAAAUUCGGUACAAUUUUAAAUAGCAGCAAUUAAAUUAGGGUGAAAAUACGCUCUGCGGGUCAUUACGGUGCAAACGGUCUAUAAAGCAUAGCAUGUGUGAUACACCUCAUAAUUUGAAACAGUUCAUGGAGAGGAAACAUGUGUAACGAUGCACACAGUUGUCGUUUCCAAAGCGCAUGUGAUGUCAGACAAUAUCACAAACGGUGCGAGAAAAGUAAAUGUGUGUGAUUGUUGCCUUACCGUACACGCUUUACAAUCAUGAACUAUUUGUGAUGUGGCGCGCAUCAUAAAUGUAGAACCAGUUUGGUAUGUGCCUGGAAAAAUCUCGUGCAUGGACUAUGCCUGGACUGCGCCUGGUAUAAGGUAAAACCACAGAAGUCCAACUGCGAUGGUAAUGCAAGCACAAACGAGUAGCAAGGAUGGAGCAUUUGGGAUACAUGCCGGCAACGCAUACACUUAGUUAUCUAAAAUGUAUGCAUUGCUACUCCCUAUCCCUGACGGUUUUUGGAUCGUGUGGGAAGGACCACCCCCUAUUGCCCACACUCACUAGGCAGCGGUUUAAAAUGCCAUUGCGAAAAGGGGUUAAAAACCGGUUGCAUAGCAGCUCGCUAUACCAGUGACUAGUCACCCACAGGUACCAACCUAAGGUUUUGAUGCAAAGAUUGAACACAAGAGAUCAGCUAGGGUUUGAGAUGAGAUGGUGUUGUUGAAGAUGUUGAUGAAGAUUGGCCUCCCAAAGAUGAGAGGGUUGUUGGUGAUGACAAUGGCUUCGAUUUCCCCCUCCCAAUGGAAUCGCUCCACCAGAGGGCGAAAGUGCUCAUGCCCAAGUUCCGCCUCGAGACAGCGGCGUUCCGUCCCAAAAGUCCUCUCCUGAUUUUUUGUCUAGGUCAAAAGACUAUGUACCAGAAGAUGGGCACCAUAGGUGGGCCUGGGCCCCCACUACCCACCAGGGCGCCUGGAGGGGCUGGUGUGCCCUGUUGCCUCGUGGGCACCUGGGUGGCCCCUCUGGUAUUUCUUUUCUCCAAUAUUUAUUAUAUAUUCCAAAAUAAAUCUCCAUGAAAUUUCAACUCAUUUGGAGAUGUGCAGAAUAGGUAUCUCUAACAUAGCUUUUUCAGGUCCAGAAUUCCAGUUGCCAGUAUUCUUUCUCUUUGUGUAAACCUUGCAUAUUAUGAGAGAAAAGGCAUUAGAAUUACUCCAAAAAGUGUUAAAAUGCAUAAAAUCACGAUAAAUAACAAUAGGAAAACAUGAUGCAAAAUGGAUGUAUCAUCGCUCCGAACCUUCUUGAUCUUCACUUCAAAUUGAUUUUGGGUUUUUCUAGCACCUGUGACUUGUCAUCAAGAAAGAACACCCACAUAAAUCUUCAAAAAUCAUCAACAAUGACCAAGAUGAAAGAGUUACCGCCAAUGCUCUUGUAAGCAUUGGGACCGAAGAGAUCCAUAUGGAGUAGCUCAAGUGGUCUCCUCGUGGUCAUGAUGUCCUUCACGGGAUGAAUCCCCCCAACUUGUUUUAUUGCUUGGCAAGCACAAAGUCUAUCUUUGUCAAAUAUAACAUCUUUAUCACCAAGGAUAUGAUCUCCUUUAACAAGCUUAUCAAGAUUUUGCAUGCCAACAUGUCCUGGCCUUCUAUGCCAUAGCCAAUCUUUAGAAGAUUUUUGCAAUAAGACAUGUACAAGGUUGGGCUCUUUUAGUGAAAUCAACAAUGUAUAGAUCACCUCUACUGAUACCGGUAAAGACCAUAUAAUGAUUAUCUCAACGAAACACUUGGCAAUCUACUUCGGUAAAUAGAACGUUGAAACCAAGGUCGGCUAGUCUAAAUACAGCUUGAAGACGAUGACCCCCUCUCCCGCCUGCCAGUGGGCCCGCGGCCACACCCGUCAGCCACUGUAGGUGCUGGUCACCCCCGCCCGUCGGGUUAAGUCGAGGCGUACUCCAUAAAGUACAUUACCGCUUAGCUGAAAGCAUAUUGGGCAAAAUAGGCCUUUUGCGUCACCCGUGCGAUGCAGUUGGAUUUGGCCAAUGUGCUCAGUAGCAGUAGCGGCAGUUUCGGCCCGAGCCGACCCAGUGCAAAAGUGCACUUUCUCGUUUAUCUGUGGAUUAACUGGCUAGGACCCAUAUGCAGAUAAAAUAAUUGUAGAAAGGUCCUUGGUAGAAAAACCAUCAUAUAUAUUCACUCGUAACUCCGAAUUAGGUGAUUCCAAAGCCCAUGUUCUCUAUUCAUUGAGCCUAUUCCGAUGGUAUCAUUUUCAUCAUGUUCUAACAUUCUGAAAAUGACCAUUUUACACCUGCCCUAUAUUCAGCUCCUCCGAAAGAGAAACUUUUCUGGAGAAUUUUUCCGCGAGAUGAUCAUACUUCUUCUCGGUGAAUCCAUCCACCCCAGGCAAGCCACAUGCUCCAUUUACAUGAUUGCAAUGCAAUAUCAUGGUUUUACUUAAUAACCUUGAUUAAAAUUUUCAUUGGCUAAUAUGAUUCAUUCAUGGCAUUUCUUGGAGUGAUAUUUGGCCUUGCUACUGCCAUGAUGAUGCUUGGAUUUCUAGGACUAAUGCUUUGAAGAUUGGGGAUGCCAUGUUGUCAUUGGAUUACUAGGAACAAUAGUUAUGAUUUUUUAUGAUCAUAUUGCACAUUAUAGCUAUUGGAGUAUUAUUGGAUUUGAUUGAUAUCUUAUUGUUUGGUUCUGAUCAUUCGCUUCAAUCUUGAUAAUUGUCAUAGUAGCAUCAUUGUCUUUGCAUUCAUCAUGAUAUUAGUACGUGCUACCCUUGGAGUUUAUUAUGCUUCAGUCAUAUUAUUCUUUGGAUGAUAUUAUUAUGACUUGGAUUACAGGUUGAUAUAUGAUACUGGAGUAACAGUUAUCAUAUAUAUAUCUUGGGGAUAAACUUUGUCAUUCCGUUGGUCAGGUGCCACCGAAACGAGCUCACUAGUGCAGCCACACUUGCCUGGAUGGGGAGGCCCUAAAUUCAAUCUAUUGUCAUGCCUCUUGCCGGUGCCUCCAAUUAGGGAAGGUUAUGGGUGUGCGCUACCCUGAUCAGGUAGGCGGCCAUAAGCCUUGUGUGCCCAAGUUGUGUUGUACUCGGGUGUCCCCGUUCGGGACAUUUUUGUUUUCUGCCAUGACGGUGGCUGGCCACGAAGGUGGCAGAUGUCACGUGGUGACAUCGGGGCCACCCAUGAUAUAGCCCAAAGGGGAGUUUGUCGGAGUGGUCGAGAGAGUGUCAUGCAGUAGAUUGGUUUUGUCGGAAUAUCAUUGGUCCACCCGAGUGGGAGCACGAGGCCAUGAUUUUUGUGGUGUGGGUACAGUAUACUAACCUCUGCAGAAUGCACAAACUAUUGAUAGCCGCAUCCUCGGUCAUGGACAUAGUUCGUACAAGGUCACACCGUUCGAUCAACACACACGGUGACGGAAUGACUUAUAAGAUGAUUAUUUAUCUUUAUAUGUGAGCAAUAACAGUUUGGCAGGAUGCUGAUGAUGAUGUUGAGAUGAUCUUGGGGAUGAUCAUUCAGUUGUGAUGUGAUCAUGCGGUGAUCACGAGGAGGUAUUGAUCAUGAGGUGAUUGAGGUGAUAUAUUGCUUGGCCGGAUAGCCAAGAGUGAGGUGGUUCAUAUGACCCAAGAUGUUGGUUCAGCAUUAAUUCUAGCUUUACCAUAUCAUGAUUAAUAUUUUUUUCCUCCUCAUAGUAGUUGAUAAUACCUUAACAUGUAAAUGAUAUGUUUUUGUCUUGCCUUGAUGCUUUUGGUUGUUGUGAGCUUGCAAGUACAUUCAAAGUAUUUUGCAGGUGAUGUCGGGAUUGAUUGCUUGACGGGGAUUCCGAGUGUGCGAGCUAGACCGUGUCCCAACCAGAGUCCUUGCACAGUGGAGUUCAUCACUGUUGUCGUUGUUUCACUGCUACAAGUUGUUCCGCUGCUAGCAUAGAGCUACCUUAGCAGGCAUAGUGUCGUUGUGCUGAUGUAAUUAUUUGUAACAUCAGGCCCUUGUACCCUUAUCUUUUGUAAUAAGAGAUGAUUUGUUCUAUGCCAAGUAGUCUCGUAUUCCAGAAGACUUGAUCAGUAGGCUAGAAUACGGGGUGUUUAGGUUCCUCUGAGCUGGGGUGCCACAUUUCUGCACCAAGCCUUCACAUCUUUGGAAGAGAAAUUUGUGGCACUGCCCAUAAUUAUACUAUGAGGGGCACCAUAAUGGUGUACCCCGCCAGAGACAAAUUCUAGGACCUGUGUUGCCUCGAUUUUUGUGAUCGGCUUUGCUUCGAUCAACUUUCUGAAUUUAUCUACCAUGACGAUUAAGUAUUUCUUUUUGUGCGGGCCCCUUUAAGAAGGCCGGCCAUGUCAAGCCCCCACACUACAAAAGGCCAGUUAAUAGGAAUAGUCCGAAGAGCAUUGGGGGGCAUGUGACUUUAGUUGGCAAAAAUCUGGCAGCCGAGGCACCGUUGAACCAAAGUUUUCGCGUCCUCUUUGGUGUAGGACAAUAAAAUGCGACUUAGAAGGCUUUACUAACUAAAGGCCUAAGCUGCGGCGUGAUGGCCGCUCAUGCGGGAGUAGAUUUCUGCAAGGAGUUCGCGUCCUUACUCUUCGGCUAUACACCUAUGGAGGACACCUGUGAUGCUUCUUUUAUAUAGCACACCUUCAUGUACCCGAUAGGCCUUUGAUCGGUUAAUUAUUCUCCGUGCUUCGGUUUUGUCUAGUCGAUGGUCUAGGGGGUCCCGGCCUAGCCGGUCUAGUCAUGGGCCGGACUGACGACCCAUUGACGAGGAAGGACUCCGAAGGCCUCUAACCCGUGGCAUGAGCAUAUCGGGGUUAACUAAGGACUUGGCGUGUACUCCAAGUAUUCUGUGAACUUCCCGAUAUUUAUAAUCCUAGGACUAAAAAGAUUAUUAUCCAUAUGCAUGGAGUUGACUAUAAUCCGAGAAGAGAGGGACAUCUUUGCCUUUUAUAAAAUACAUUUUGAGCAUCCUCCAAUAUGUGAUAUCCUUCAUGAAAAAGACACCAUACAUAGUUUGGAAUCUAAUGAUUACUUUUCUUAUGGUGAGAAUAUUAGAAAGAGAGUUCCUUAUGCUGAAUUAAUUAAAACUUUGUACCACAAUACUUGUGAUAAAUUUGAGUGGAUCACUAAGGGAAUUGAUGAAGGGUUUAGUGAUGAAUGGUUUGAAAGUAUGUCUAGGGAUCCCAUUGAUGAUGAAAUACAUGUUUUAUAAGAGGAUUUCUAUGGUGAUGAUUUCGAGUUUGAAGUAAUGAAUGUUAAAGUUACUGAACAAAGUCCCUUCAACUAUUUAAGUUCUCCUACUAGAAAAGUAGAACAUGAGAGUGGGUAAUUAAUGUGGAAAGUUCUUGAAGAUUUAAUUAAAAAGGAUUUGGAAACUAAAGAUGACAAUACUUGAAACAAUGACUUACGCCUAGCUAGGGACGUAAAACAAUAGCGCUUGUUGGGAGGCAACCCAAUAGUUAUCUUCAAUCUUUGCUUUUACUUUCUGCUAUUGUGUGUUAAAAAAAGUUUUGCUAUUGUUAUGAUUGUGUUUUUAUGUUUUAAUUAGUGUUUGUGCCAAGUAAAGCCUUUGGGAUGAUUUGGACAAUAGUUGACUUGAUUCUGUGGAAAAACAAAAAAGUUUUGCUUCCAGUGCAGAAAAUUCUAUAAUUUACUGGAAUGUGAUAAUUUCCUGAAAUUUUCACACAUGAUUGAUAUAAAAAUUACACAUGUUGUACUAGUUUUUUAGAAUUUUUAGAGUUGCAGAAUUAUGGUAUUGUUCAAAUCAUUACAGACUUUUCUGUUUUAGAUAGAUUCUGCUUUCAUUGCAUAGUUUGCUUGUUCUAAUGAUGCUAUGGAUUAUAUUGGGGGGUAUAAGUCAUGGAGAAGUUAGAAUAUAAUAGGUAUUAUGCAAUAAUAAAAUAUGAAUGUGUUCAUAACAAUACUUAAAGUUUAUGAUUUGUCUAUUAUAUUAAUAAAGCUCACGAGGUUUCUGUUGAGUUUUGUGUGCAGUUUUGUGUGCUAAAAUUUUGAAGCUUUGGGUGGAGUCAUGCCAUGUUAACAUGAUAAAAUAAGGAGGGAUAACAUUCAUUAAGAAUCAUGUAUUUUAAAAACGUAAUGAUUAUGUUACUUAUAUUCAUGGAUAUUAUUAUGUUGAUAUUAUUACUUCAUCGUUUGUCAUUAAUAUAUCGUAAAGAGAUUACAUGAUACACAUGUUAGGUAGCAUUUCACAUCAAAAAUUCCGUUUUUAUCAUUUACCUACUCGCGGACAAGUAGGAAUUAAGUUUGGGGAUGCUGAUACGUCGCUAAUGUAUCUAUAAUUUUUGAUUAUUUCAUGCUAUUAUAUUAUCAAUCUUGGAUACUUUAUAUGCAUCUUAUACUAUUUUCUAUCAUUUUUGGGAACCAACCUAUUAACCCAGUGCCUAGUGUCAACUGUUGUUUUCUCCUUGUUUUUGGUUUUCCAGAAAAUCAGUACAAAACGGAGUCCAAAUGCUAUGGAACUUUUUGAUGAUUUUUUUCUGGACAUAUGAGACCUUAGAAGCUUCAGGAGGAGACCAGAGGAUAAACGACGAGACGGCAAGGCAACAUGUGGCACCCUCAUGGCUUCGUCUGAUCUAAUUUUGCUUCUAUAAAUUCUCUAAUAUUGAGAAACCAAUUGGGAGCCACACAAUACACUUUUUCCGAUGAAGCAAACUUUUGUUCUUCCAUGAUCCCAUCUGGAGGCCUUUUUUGAUACUCUGCCGGGCAGAAUCGAUCAUGGAGGGCUUCUACAUCAUCUUUGUUGUCUUCCAAUGAUGCGUGAGUAGUUUACCACAGACCUACGGGUCGAUAACUAGUAGCUAGAUGGCUUCUUCUCUCCCUUUGAUCUUCAAUACAAUGUUCUCCUCGAUCUUCUUGGAGUUCUUUCUGGUGCAAUCUACUUUGCAAUGUAUUUGUUUGGAUCCGAUGAAUUGUGAGUUUAUGAUCAGAUUAUUCGUUCAAAGUAACUGAGUCUUUCCUGAACUUUAUUAUGCAUGAUUAUGAUAGCUUUGUAUUUCUCUUCGAUCCAUCCGUUUUGUGUGGCCAACUUGAUUGAUUUAUUUUUAGUGGGAGAUUUGCUUUGUAAUGAGUUCAUUGUGGUGUCCUCACCCAAUGACAGCAGAGGUAGUGAGGCACGUAUCAUGUUGUUGCUAUUAAGCGUAAAACGACUGGGUUUAUUCAUAUUGAUUGGGUUUACUUUGUCUACAUCAUGCCAUCUUUCUUAAAGCGUUACUCUGUUUGUCAUGAACUUAGUACCAUAGAUGCAUGCUGGAUAGCGGUGGAUUGGUGGAGUAAUAGUAGUAGAUGCACGCAAGAGUCGGUAUACUUCUCAUGGACAUGUUGCCUAUAUGUGUGAUCAUUUCCAUGAAUAACGUUAUAACUAUGCGCUUUUCUAUCAAUUGUCCAACUGUAAUUUGUUUACCCAACAUAUGUUAUGUGUUCGAGAGAGAAGCCUUGAUACGUCUCCAACAUAUCUACUUUUUCUCAUGCUUUUCCUCUUGUUUUGGACUCUAAUUUGCAUGAUUAGAAUGAAACUAACCCCGGACUGACGGUGUUUUCAGCAGAACUACCAUGGUGUUGUUUUUGUGCAGAAAUAAAAGUUCUCGGAAUGGAACGAAACUUUUCGAGGAUUUUUUAUAUCAACAAUAAGAAUUUCUGGAGCCAAGACAUGUAGGAGAGGGGCACCUGGGUGGGCACAACCCACCAGGGAGCGCCGCCCUCUCCUGGCGCGCCCAAGUGGGUUGUACCGACCUGGUGGCCCUGCAGACGACCCCCUUGAUACCAUAAAAUCACAUAUUUCUAGAAAAAAAUCAGGGAGAAAGAAUUAUCACGAUCCACGAGAUGGAGCCGCCGCCAAGCCCUAUUCUUCCUCGGGAGGGCACAUCUGGAGUCCGUAUGGGGCUCCGUAGAGGGGAUCUUUGUUCUUCGUCAUCACCAACCCAUCUCCAUAGCCAAUUCCAUGAUGCUCCCCCCCGGGAGUGAGUAAUUCCUUCGUAGGCUCGCUGGUCGGUGAGGAGUUGGAUGAGAUUCAUCAUGUAAUCGAGUUAGUUUUGUUAGGGCUUGAUCCCUAGUAUCCACUAUGUUCUUAGAUUGAUGUUGCUAUGACUUUGCUAUGCUUAAUGCUUGUCACUUUCGGCCCAGGUGCCAUGAACUCAGAUCUGAACCGUUUAUAAAUUCAUCAUUAUAUCCAUGUUCUAGAUCCGAUCUUGCAAGUUAUAGUCACCUACUACCGUUAUGACCUGACAACCCCGGAGUGACAACAACCGGGCCCACUCUCGGUGAUGACCGUAGUUUGAGGAGUUCAUGUAUUCACUAUGUGUUAAUGAUUUGUUCCAGUUCUCUAUUAAAGGGAGGCCUUAAUAUUCCUUAGUUUCCAAUAUGGACCCCGCUGCCAUGGGAGGGUAGGACAAAAGAUGUCAUGCAAGUUCUUUUAAUAAAGCAUGUAUGACUAUUUACGGAAUACAUGCCUACAUUAUAUCGAUGAACUGGAGCUAGUGCCGUAUCACCCUAGGUUAUAACUGUCACAUGAUGAAUAUCAUCCAAAAAGUCACCGAUCGAAUGCCUAUGAAUUUAUCUUAUAUUGUUUCUCCUAAGUUACUAUUGUUGCUACUGCUAUCGUUACUGCUACAAAUUACUGCUAUCACUGUUACCGUUACCGUUGCUGGUGUCACUACUAUCAAAACUAUCAAACUACUUUGCUACUGAUUACUUUGCUGCAGAUAAUUAAUCUCCAGGUGUGGUUGAAUUGACAACUCAGCUGCUAAUACCUUCAAAUAUUCUUUGACUCCCCUUGUGUUGAAUCUAUAAAUUUGGGUUAAAUACUUACCCUCAAAAACAGUUGCGAUCCCCUAUACUUGUGGGUUAUCAAGACCUUUUUCUGGCACCAUUGCCAGGUAGCAUAGCUAUAUUUGCUGAGUCACUUGGGAUUAUUAUCAAUCUAUGACUAUGAAGAAUCUGAAGGAUCCAAAGACUAAGAUAUUUCCCUCAAGUACGAAGAGUAAGAAACUGCCAUCUAGUUCAGCUUUAGAUUCACCUUCUGUUAUGAGUAAACUUGCAAUACGACCACCACAUGCUAUUAAUUCUGACAUGUCGCAAGUUAUUGAUGAUGCUACUUCUACUAUGAAUGAUGCUUAUGAUGAUGCUAGUACCAUGCUCGAUAAUGAUGAUGUGCCACUUGGUGAAUUUCUUGAUGAACAAAUUGCUAGAGUAAUACAACAUGAUGUUGUUCAAUCUAAUGAUGAGCUUGAAACAAAAACUCCAGAAACACUUGCUAGAGCUAGCCCUCCUAGAUAUGAACUGACUAAGGUACCGAAAGGCUAUGUUAUGAGUGAAGAGGAAACUAGAGAUAUUCUUGCUUGUAAGGAUAGAGAUGAUCUAGAGAAAUUAUUACUCAAGUAUAAAGAAAAAUCUCUGAAUGCUAGAAUGAAAUGUGAUCCUGAGUUUGCUACUUCACCUAUUGUUAUUGCUGAUAAGGAUUAUGAAUUCUCUGUCGACCCAGAGUUAAUCACUUUGGUUGAAUCUGAUCCUUUCCAUGGUUAUGAAACUGAAACUGUUGUGCCACAUCUUACUAAGUUGAAUGAUAUAGCCACCCUUUUUACUCAUGAUGAGAAAACUCGAUACUACUUUAUCCUCAAAUUAUUUCCUUUCUCAUUAAGGGGUGAUGCUAAAGCUCAGUACAAUACUCUUGCUCCUGGUUGUGUGUGUAGUCCCCAGGAUAUGAUUUACUACUUCUCUCAAAAAUAUUUUCCUGCUCAUAAGAAACAAGCUGCCUUACAGGAAAUAUUUAACUUUGUGCAAAUUGAAGAAGAGAGUCUCCCACAAGCUUGGGGGAGGCUUCUCCAAUUGCUUAAUGCUUUGCCUGAUCAUCCUCUUAAGAAAAAUGAAAUACUUGAUAUCUUCUAUAAUGGACUAACUGAUGCUUCUAGGGACUUCCUAGAUAGUUGUGCUGGUUGUGUUUUCAGGGAAUGACCUACUGCUCAAGUUGAAGAAUUAUUGAAUAACAUAUUGAAAAAUUAAGAUGAUUGGACUAUUCCUGAACCACCGCCUAACCCCACUUUGAAGAAGAGGGGUAUAUUAUAUCUCAAUCUUGAAGAUAUGCAAGAGGCAAAGAAAUCUAUGAAGGAAAACGGUAUAAAAGCUGAGGAUGUUAAAAAUUUACCUCCUAUUGAAGAAAUACAUGGGCUUGAUACACCACCACUGCCUAAGGUGGUAGAGGUAAAUUCUCUUAUGAAGUUCAAUGAAAAUGAUAAUCCUCACAAUAUGCAUCCUAGCCAAUGCUUUUAUGGGUUUGAAGACUACAUUAGAAAACAAGACUACUUCAAUGCAAAUGUUAUGAAACAAUUGGAAUAUAAUUCUGAUAUGAUUGCUCGCUAAAGUGACUUGUUAUUUAGAAUCUCAAAUGAUGUUAGAGGUGUUGGAAAACAUGCUUCUAUGGUUCAAACCCAGUUAGAACAAGUUGCUAAAUCACGAAGAGAAUUACUUGAUGAAAUGAAUCAUAAUAUACAUGACUUUGAUGUUAGAGUUGCAACUAGAGGAGGUAAAAUGACUCAGGAACCACUUUAUCCUGAGGGACACCCAAAAAGAAUUGAACAAGAUUCACAAAGAAAUAACACUAGUGCACCAAGUCUUUCUAAAAAGAAAAAGAAAAAGAAAAAUGAUAGGACUUUGCAUGCUUCUAGUGAACCUGAAAUAGACAAACCUCCGAAUAAUGGAAAUGAAACUUCUAUCUCUGAUGUUCAAACUCAAUCUGGUAAUGAACAUCCACCUAGUGAUAAUGAAAAAGGCAAUGAUGAGGUUCAUGAAGACACUCAACCAAAUAAUGAUAAUGAACCAGAUAAUGAUGUUGAGAUAGAACCACCUGUUGAUCUUGAUAACCCACAACCUAAGAAUAAAAGAUAUGACAGAAGAGACUUUUUUGCUAGAAAACACGGUAAAGAAGGAGAACCGUGGGUUCAAAAACCUAUGCCUUUUCCACCCAAGUCAAAUAAAAAGAAAGAUGAUGAAUAAUUUGAACGCUUUGCUGAAAUGCCGAGGCCAGCCUUUUUGCGUUCUCGCUUGACUGAUAUCCUAAAAAUGCCUCCUUAUGCAAAGUAUAUGAAAGAUAUCAUCACGAAUAAGAGAAAAACACCGGAAGCUGAAAUCUCCACUAUGCUUGCUAACUAUACUUUUAAAGAUGGAGUACCUAGAAAACUUGGAGAUCCGGGAAUACCAACUAUACCUUGCUCUAUCAAAAAGAAUUAUGUGAAAACUGCUUUGUGUGAUUUAGAAGUUGGUGUUAGUGUUAUGCCUUUCUCUUUAUAUAGAAGACUUGACUUGAAUAAGCUCACACCCGCUGAAAUAUCUUUGCAAAUGGCUGACAAAUCAACUGCCAUACCUAUCGGUAUCUGUGAGGAUGUGCCUGUUGUUGUUGCUAAUGUUACUAUUUUGGCUGACUUUGUUAUACUUGAGAUGCCCGAGGACGACAACAUGUCGAUUAUCCUUGGUAGACCCUUCUUGAAUACUGCAGGGGCUGUUAUUGAUUGUAAUAAAAGCAAGAUCACUUUUCUUAUUAAUGAUAAUGAGCAUACGGUGCACGUUCCGAAGAAACAAUUCCAAGUGAAUGGUAUUAAUGUUAUUUAAAAAUCUCUGACAAUCACUAUUGGAAGUUUUCAAAUACCUCUACCUACUGUCAGAAAGAAAUAUGAAAUGCUUAUUGUUGGGGAAAUGCAUAUCCCCAUUGAGGUAACUUAGUGAUUUACGAAAGUUCUUUGGUUUCAUGCUAAUCGAAAGUGGUUGUUAAUAAGACCUGAUCAACCUUAUUAAUGAAUCAUUUUUGAACGGUAUGAAGUUGAUGAAUUUAGUAGGCACUACAUUUUGUCCUUACUUUUCGUUUCCUGUUUUUACUAGUUAAAUAAAAUAAAAUGCCAUGUUUUGUCUGUUUUCUGAAUUUCCCAUGCAAUAAAAAUGACCCAAAAAUAAAAGUUCUCAAAAUGCCCUGAAAAUUGAACAUAAUUUUUUUUCUGAAUACUUCUGAAUUUCUGGUGCAAAUAAUACCAGAGGGAGGUGCACCAGGUGGGCACAACCCAACUGGGCGCGCCA